rnacentral:lncRNA from 1 species
ACGCCAUCGUUGGCAGGCAGGCAGAAGUCCGACAGGGGGGUGUCGUUCUUCAGCUCCAGGCAGAUCUUGCCGCCAUUCGCCUGGUCCUUGCUCCAGUUCAGGGGGGUAGCCUUAACGGUCUGCUCGUCCACAGCGCCCCAGGUGGCGGACAGCCACUUGCCGGUGCCGGUCUUGGGCUGCACGUACACGCCGGUGAUGGCGCGGCGCUUCUUGUCGUCGGCGUAGAACUCGGCCUUGAGCAGGCUGGUGCUCCGGCCGCAGGGGCUGGUGGCGCUGUUGGGGGUCACCAGGGUGAUGCUGAAGCAGUAAGCAGUGGUGUCCUUGGUGCGGCCGGCCAUGCUCGACAUCGCGGGCGCAAUGGCGAAGGGGGUGGCGCCGGGAGUGGUGACGCACUGGCACUUGGGGAAGUCGGGGGUCUGCAGGGCGCAGGCGGCCGAGGCCUGGGCGUUGAUGCACGACUGGGGCAGGCCGGCGACGGCGUCGCCCAUGCCGCCAACAGAGACGACCACGGUGUAUCCGGCCAGGGCGGGGCGGCAGCCCUGAGUCACCAUGUCCAGCCAGAAGUUGAUCUGGGUGUCAACGAAGCUCUGCAGCUUGGCGCCCUCCUCGUUGGAGAAGAAGGUGGCGCACACCAUCACCAGGUUGCCGGCGCAGCUGGUGGACCCAGGGGUCACGGUCACGCCGAGGUCGGAGGCCUGGGUGGCCACGUCGUCCUGAAUGGUGGCGAUGUAGCCCUGGCACUCGUCGUUGCUGAUGGAGUAGGGGAACAGAACGCGGCUGGCGUCGCUAACGGUCAGCGAGAUGUAGACGCAAACCUGGCAAGGAGGAGGGGGGCUGGGGGGAGGAGGGCUCGGGAUGCCGGGCGUGGAGAUAGGGCAGCAGUCGUUCUGGCUGUCGAACAGCGCAGCCGAGCACACACCCUUGGGCAGGCCAGGGGGAGGAAUGCACAGCUCCUCAAGGGUGGUGCAGCCCUUGCCGUUCUUGUUCAUCGACAGGGUGAUGCAAAUCUCAGCACCGUCGCUGGCCAGGCCCAGGCCCAGCUGGGUCAGGACCAGGGUGGUCGAGCCAACGGGGCCAUCGGUGGGCUCGUGGAACGAGACACCGACCUUGGUGGGCACGCCGUUGAUGGUGGCCUUCACCACCUCGCCGAAGACGUCGCACGCCUCGUAGACGUUGAACUGUGUACAUCAAAAUGAGGAACAAACUCAGAGAACUUCUUGAAAAAAGAACUCACACUGUGGGUUGCUGGCUGCUGCGACUUUGAAACCGCGACCCGAUGCGCCGACAACCCACCUCGAUCUUCUUGAGGUCUGCCUUGGAGCAGCAGUAAUCGGUGCAGCCAGCCGGCACCUUGGCGCUCAGCUUGAAGCAGUACUGGUUGUUGCCCUUGGCAACGACAACAUCACCCAGCUUGUAGGCCGAGGGAGACUUCUUGCACUGGCAGUAAGGGAACGAGGUGUACAAGCCCGACUGAGCACCCUGGGCGGCCCUGCAGAUUCAGAACGAAGGGCACACGCGGCACGGAGUUACUGCCAGCGGAGCAAGCGGAGUCUCGGCGACGGGAUAGCCUGCUUGCAACUUGCUGUCAAAUCCGGUGGUGGCGCUACGAUCACUGUUACGCUAUGCUGAAAUCAUGAAAAUAGCCCGAGCAUGCUGUAAGAGCGCCGGUUGCAAGAAGGCCGACCGCAUUCAAGCUGCGCAGCGGACCCACACGACCACUAUUUACGCCGUGAGCGUAAAUGAUUAUCUUUGACUAGAGUCAGCGAUGCUCGUCUAUUCUACAACUCAGGAGCUUCCCGAAGCGACAAAUCUGUGAAACGCGCGGUCUUGCUACUCACGCAAUUGCGGCCGCGAAAAGAACGGAGACUAGAAUGCUGCACCUCAUUGUCACAGAGGUGGUUCAGCUAUAAAGAAAUUGUGAGGCACGCGGGCUUAUCAUGGGGGGCCCGGCUGGUCGAACGAGUCGUACGCCCGCCAUUAACCGCGGGCGCGUUAGUUUGGCGUGCGAUGCAAUCAUUCAUGCAACCGCGCCACUUCGACAGUGCCGGAAACAACUUUUAUUUUUGUGGGUAUGCAUCCGGCUAUUCGGUAGGACAGCAGCUGCGUUACGCUCAAACUCGGGCAAACAAUUGGGCUAGCGGCGUGAGCUUGCACCUCACAACUAUCAUCACACAAGUUAUUUAGAUACUGGCCUACCUUGGGCCAUCUCCAAAACUGCCUGUCCAGCCCGGGAGCGGCGGAGCUGUUUCGCCCGCGGUUUGGAGUGGCUUUACUCGUGCCGACGCAAGUCCUUGAUUUUUGCAUUAUAAAAAAAUUAUAGAGUACAGCUAUAGCAACCAACUUGGCAAUGGAGCUGCUGGCAUGGUCCAAACGCGGGAAGCUGGCGCCUUCUAGGCUCUUUGGAGCCCUGUCGGCUUCACAAGUGGCUGAUGCUCAAGUUGUGCAUCGCUUUGGCCGGACAAAUGUCUCCUAGUAACCCGGUUCACAAGCGAAGCGUGAAACGAAAGCAAAGGAUGCUGCGCGCCGGAAGCGAAACGUUCGAUGCACCUAAUUGGGCGCCAAGCGCGGAACCUUGCAGUCUCAGAUGCGUGUGUGCAUGGAAGGAGAAGGCUGGCGGAGGCGAGAGGAGCGGGGGCAGGGAUUGGCUUUCGUGGGGGGGGCGGGGCAAGUGGCGCGGGCGGGGCUGGGGGGGCGAAGAACGGUGAAGACCGGUGCGAUGGCACAGGGUAAGGGGCAGGUUGGCGUAGUCCCGAGUCCCGAGAAACAACUUACGCCCAACCCAGGCGCCAAUGAAACAGGUGAAGAGCUUGAGGACCCCCCUCCCGCUGUCCGGGCCUUACACACAAGCAGGCCAAGUGCGGGGGGAGCCGUAGCGCACACCAUAUACCGUACUGUCACUGUGCUCGAUUUCGUCGCUAGUGACGCCCCUGCUGGCUAGGGUAGCAAGGGUAAUGGGGGUGAACGAGCCGGUUGCUUAGGCUGUGCCAGCUUUCCCCGGGUUUCAUUGGGGUCACACACUUCACUGAUGCACAACUUUCAGAGCCAGGGGGCUGCAUCCUCCGGCAAGCAGACGCCAGGAGGGUGUCCCUGGCCGCAUGCGCUGGGUCCUGGAGUCUACGGUACGCGUUGCCGCACGCGUCGGUUGGCCAUCCAUUCCCCAUCCUUAGACACAAUGACUGUGUCAUGUGUGCACGUUGCGCUUUAGGCUCGGCCAGCGGCACCCUGGGUUGGGUGUGUGAUGGGUUGGGUCUCGGUUUGAGAGGUGUGACCCUUGCAGAAAGCAGGACUCUCCACACUCCCCUCCCGUGCUGUGCAUGUAUGUUCCUGCAUGCACGUGUGUGUAUGAAGUGAAUGGCUCAGCCAACGGCUGUGUGUGCAUGUGGCCCGCGUAAAAUGCAAUUUACCAGUGAUGGGCACUUCUAUCAGGGAGGGGUAGGAAACAAAGUGCCAGACCCCAUGCCCCGAAAUCCCCCGGGACCCCCCUUGAGGGGACGACCGACCCCCCGACGGACAAAACCUUGUUGUUCAGCGGUUAAAACCCCUCCAUUUAAUACCAAAGUAGUGUCAAUCGACUCCUCUUGACGAGCACUAUCACUCCGUGCCAUCAGCGGUCCUGUUCUGAGACUUCGGUCACGGGCGGGAUCCUAUCCAUGGAAAUCCCCUCGACCCAGACCACCCCGCGCUCAACUCUUUGCCGCGUGACGAAUGGACAAUGUGCAUCGGCAGCCUUGUUAGACGUGAACUCAUGCGCAUCAGCGCUUCAGAGCCCAGCUGUGUCAGUGCGCAUAUGUUGAAUGUGGAGACAUGUCCCGACAUGUCCACGUCCGGACGCGCAACUUAGCCCUCCCACGCUUUGUUUGUGCUUAUUACGUCAUAACGUACACAUAUGAGCCUCGCACUGCUGCGUUUGGCCCCUAGUUCUGCUUGUGGGGCGCUUCCCGAAAUCCGCCAGGAUGGGCUCCCGAAACCCGACGGACCCCCAGGGACGAGGACCGACCCCCAACUUUGGCGGCCCAGAACUUCCUCACCAGACCCCCCUUUAAAAAACUAAAAGUACGUGCAUAAUGCUCUCCUGAAGCUCUCUAAUAUUGAGCAUGGGGUAAGAACCUGAGCUUUCUAACCCCCCCCUGCCAUGGCGGCCACAAUGCCAAGAUGCUACCUGGCGGCGCCACGCACAGCAGAGCCCUGUGCUCCGCAAGGAUGCACACGUGCACACACGCACACACAUGUGCGAACACACGUGCACCUGCCCUCCAUGCCACUCGCCCCGCCCCUUCCCCCUUCCCUCACCUCAGUUAUGGCUGACUGGAUGCGGUUGAUCUCAAACAGCCGGCUGCGCCCCUCCUGGGAGCCGCCGCCGCCGCCGCCAGACAGGAGGUCUGGAGUGCGUGUGAGGAAGGGGAGGGGGGGGAUGUGCCCGAGCCCGAGGUCUCAAGCGUCAAGGAAUUGUUUCCAAACCAGGGGGAGGAAGCGGUAGGGGGGCGCGAAGUGUGAUGUUUGUCGGGGUAAGGUGUGAGGCAUUGGGCAUGGAGCGUAAGGCGGGCAUCAAGGCGGGUAGGGUGUCGGCCUGUGCGCUGUCACCCAAGCCACGGGCGCACCGUUAGCACGCACGCACGCGCACACGCUCACACUACGCACCUGCGGCCGCCUCCUGCCCCUUGCUGGUGGCGCCGCUCCCGCCGCCGCCCCCACCUGCACCCCCAGCAGCCGCCCCGCCCGGCACCGGAGCGCUCACCACCACCUGCGCCUCCGCCGCACCCUCCACCGCUGACUCUGCUCCUGCUCCCCCUCCUGCUGCGGAUGCUUCCGCUGGUAGCUGCACCACUGGCGUGUGCCGUGGAUGCGGUGGGUGCGGCGCCGCCAAGCCAGUCACCGCCGCCACCACCGGCGCCAGCGCCGCCGCCACGGCAGCCGCCGGCUCCCCUCCCGAAAUCCGCCAGACACCCCCUUAAAAAGUUAAAAGUACGUGCAUAAUGCUCUCCUAAAGCUCUGUAAUUUUGAGCAUGGGGUAAGAAACUGAGCUUUCUACCCCCCCCCUGCUUCUAUCAACCGGUUGUGCUUUCGGGGUUACAUGGAAGAGAUUAGGCUGGUGGGGCACAGUGGUGCACGGUGACAGAGACAGCCUUUCUUCCCUGUCUGGGUCAGGGGACAGGUUGUGCCGCCCUCGAGUCCGAAUCAAAUCGUUCUUUGCAGCAUCCCUCUUCAGGAUGCUGAGUGGAGUUGGUGUCGGUAGUAAAGGCCAAGCCCAACGCCCAUUGCGGCAGGGCCCAGGUGUGGGCGGAACGCCCGCCAAGAUGAGACACGAUGAGAGGCACGGCCGAUCGCGCCGAGUUAAGCCAUCACCACGCCCAGUGUUCCGGCCGGUUGUAACAGAUCAACUGUUACGAUCCCUGUUCGAGACAGGGCUGGGCCCUAACUUAUGCCUCUUACGAGUCUUCUAGUGAAUACGCGGUCACCCAAGUCUCAUCCGUUGGACAUCUCCAACCCCUUGCCAGGCUCUACAGUGAGUUAUGUCCGGGGUGGGCUAGGUACUGCUACCCCAGGGGAGAGCCUUCCCUGGCAGAGCCCAGGCCCUGCCGUAUUCCUUACCGGGUCGCACACCCACCGAAGUACCGAACCACGCGUCACGGUCUGGGAAUCAGCUGCACCCUACGGGACUUCACCAACCUGCCUUAACACUGUCCCAUACCACGCGUUACGUUUCUCCACGAUCCGCGGAACGGCGGAAACACGUAUUGACAUGUGUACACCCGCAAGGAGACCGCGGGUGGGUGAGAAUACUGCGCCUGCGCCUGAGAGCCCCGGGGCAAGCUGUCUCAUCCCCGAACGUAGAACUCAUAGAGUGCAGUCUGUGCAAAAGGGAAAGCGAGAUGCAAAGGACGAAGCAGGAGUCGUGUGACGCGUUAGCGUGGAUAAACGCCUGGCGGAUGAGAUCGGACAUGGCAACUUGGAAAUGGGCAGGUUGGUGUUAGUCCUGUGGACCUGAUAUACCCGAGCCGGUUGAGGGCCUCAUGUGCAAAACCGCCAGCGCCGGUCUGCUGGCCUUAUCUGGGUACACGCAGUACCGGUGCGGUAGCUGACGAUGCCAGCGUUAUUGACGAGUGUUGCGGAACUAAUGCGUACGUAGACCAGAGCGGAAGGCGGAGUGGGCUUGCAGGCGGCACGAGAGUAGGCAGUCAGUAGCGCAAGUUGCGAAUUCACAUGUUACCUCGUAACCGACGGUAAACGCUGCGGACGGUCGCGCCCAUGGCUGGCUGACGGAAGGUGGCUGCUGUAUUGGGAUGGCUGGGCUGGACGACGCCGGCCGGGCUGGCGUGCACGAUGUGCACAAACCGUUCCGCCUGCAGAUUGCAGAAAGCCCUGACGCCAGCUGCGCAUCCUGACGGAUGACACGUUGGGGGCUGUCACUCAGCUGCUGACUCGGGACCACCGUGCUGUCCCCUGCCGCAGUUACCGCCGCAGCCUGGCUGGCAUUCAACUUAUGUUGAAAAUUAUAUCAAUAUGACGCGUUCGUACUGUGCCCCCAAACCGGUUUACAGGGGCAACAGGCAAUAGCCCUGCGCACAAACUCCUGCUUCUCACCAGAGCUUUCGCCGUUAUGCACGGCCACGGGAACAAUGGUCCCGGCCAACCACAUCUAUGAACCGUGUCCGUUAGCCUCUCCUGAGGCUUGUAACCGGAACGCGGCUCCGCUGAUUGCAGUCCCAGGAUGACGCUAACCUAAGCAAACAGUCAAUGCGCAUGAUCAUUUACACACACGAGUGCUCUUAUGUACUGCCCAUAUUAAACACAGUCGAGUUGUGGAUCAGUUGCACGAUUCACCGCGCCAGCCCUCGCGGCGGUGCUUCACGCAAUCCGCAUUCAGCUGGUGGCGAGUCGCCAAGCCGCCCCCAACAAAACCCGCACCGCACCAAGUGCCAUGCCGUUUAGACACACGCGCACAACACUAAUCCUGCGAGGCAGUGAUCUCAUCUGUCACUUUGUCAACUACCCAAUCAAGCCAUUUUUCCGAACCCAAUUCAAAACACGCGCCCACGGGCGAAGCUGUGCGCCGUGGCUGUAGCGGCUGCUGCCUCUGCUGCCAACGCCUCACAAAAUCCACCCGUGGCCGUCUGCCACAUAAGCUCCAGCGGUCACCAGCUAUGCUCCGUGCCAGCUCGCGAUAUUGCCAGGCCGUGUGGCCGCAGCAGCUGUUUGCACAGCUGCCGCGAAGCAAGUCCGCUGCCACAAGAACUCAAACAGGGUGGGUCAGCCGCGCGGCUUCCAAGCGGCUUCCACCUUGUGUGUAUGGACACGCGACGCCUCGGCUGCUGCGGGCUGUGCCAUUUACGGCAGGCUCGCCUGGUACAGCGGGCAGCUGCGGGCAAGACACGGGAGGGGUGAGGAAUGGCGGUCAGAUACGUGACAACGUCGAGGCAGAUGUCCGCGGGGAAGUCCGUGGGCGAAGCCUAUUGAUUUAGAUCCCGCAAGACAACCCACAUUGGCAAGUACGUUGUUGCGAGCGUGUCAAUGCAAACCCAACUCACCAGUUCUUGCUGUCGUCGAACAAGUUGCCGUAGCACGAGCCGCCGGGCGCGGGCAGGCAGAAGUCCGACAGGGGGGUGUCGUUCUUCAGCUCCAGGCAGAUAGUACCGCCAUUCGCCUGGUCCUUGCUCCAGUUCAGGGGGGUAGCCUUGACGGUCUGCUCGUCCACAGCGCCCCAGGUGGCGGACAGCCACUUGCCGGUGCCGGUCUUGGGCUGCACGUACACGCCGGUGAUGGCGCGGCGCUUCUUGUCGUCGGCGUAGAACUCGGCCUUGAGCAGGCUGGUGCUCCGGCCGCAGGGGCUGGUGGCGCUGUUGGGGGUCACAAGGGUGAUGCUGAAGCAGUAAGAGGUGGUGUCCUUGGUGCGGCCGGCCAUAGUGGAAAUGACGGGCGUGAAGGCGAAGGGGGUGGCGCCGGGCGUGGUGACGCAAGCGCACUUGGGGAAGUCCACAGGCUCGGGGGCGCAGGCCUGGGACUGGAAGCCGCUCAGGCAAGACGCAUCCGGGGCCUGUGCGGAGCCGCCGAUGCCGCCGACGGCGGCGUAAGCGCUGUAGCCAGUCAGGAAGGCGGGGCAGCCCUGGACGCCGGUGAUCAGCUGCAGCCAGAAGGGCAGGCGCUCAUCGAUGAAGGGCUGCAGCUCGGCGCCCUGCUCCGAUGAGAAGAAGGUGGCGCACAGCUUGAUCACGUCGCCAGAGCAAACAGCCGGGGCGAAGUUGAUCGCGACGCCCAGGUUCUCGGCCUCGGUCUGGAGCUCGUCGCCGAUCAUAGCAGCGUAGUCGUCGCAGUCCUGCUGGGAGAACUCGUAAGGGAAGACAACGUUGCCGGUCUCAAGGAUGGAGAGGUACACGCAAGCCGUGCAGGGAGGAGGAGGAGACGGAGGAGGCGGGCUGGGGGGAGGAGGGCUCGGGAUGCCGGGCGUGGAGAUAGGGCAGCAGUCGUUCUGGCUGUCGAACAGCGCAGCCGAGCACACACCCUUGGGCAGGCCAGGGGGAGGAAUGCACAGCUCCUCAAGGGAGGUGCAGCCCUUGCCGUUCUUGUUCAGCGACAGGGUGAUGCAAAUCUCAGCACCGUCGCUGGCCAGGCCCAGGCCCAGCUGGGUCAGCACCAGAGUGGUGGAGCCGACGGGGCCAUCGAUGGGCUCGUGGAACGAGACACCAACCUUGGUGGGCACGCCGUUGAUGGUGGCCUUCACCACCUCGCCGAAGACGUCGCACGCCUCGUAGACGUUGAACUGUGGAGAAAGAAAACCAGAAGGGUGAGAAUGGUUUGGACAAGCACGCUAGCAGACGCCAGCAACUCUGCUAGCGACAAGCCGCGAGCGUCGGUUACUGUGAUGCUCUUCGACAUUCCCGCUCGACUUUCUGGCAUAGUCGCAACCACGUGCUUACCUCGAUCUUCUUCAGGUCCGCCUUGGUGCAGCAGUAGUCAGUGCAGCCAGCCGGCACCUUGGCGCUCAGCUUGAAGCAGUACUGGUUGUUGCCCUUGGCAACGACGACAUCACCCAGCUUGUAGGCCGAGGGAGACUUCUUGCACUGGCAGUAGGGGAACGAGGUGUACAAGCCCGACUGAGCACCCUGGGCGGCCCUGCAUUCCGAAGGCACAAGGGCAAAAGAUGUGUUGGUUCGCAUGUGUGCAUCGGCGUGCAGUCUUGAACCCAUGUGUGCAUGACGUCCUAGAGAAGAUGACACUGCCAUGUACUGAUCGAUUGCGCUCCAGGCUCCAUCAAAGGCCCGCCGGCCUAAGCUGGGGAAUGCUGGCGUGCUCCAGUGGCUGUCGAGCGUCCAGGAAAGGCUGAGCUGCCACCGUGAGCUGGGGAUGCUUUCACGUUAUGACCAACACAUCUGUCUGUGACAUACAUCAAGCUAGGGGCUGGAUCGCCUACGCCGCGACAAAAAUGGCGCGACUCCGAGAGAGCCAUCACAGACACUACUCACGCGAAUGCGGCAGCCACGAGAACGGCAACCAGCGAAUAGCUGGACCUCAUUGUUACAGAGGUCGUUCAGCUAAUUAUGGUGACCAUUUGCGCGCCGAGGGCUAUAAAUUCUGCUGGCCGAUUCCGUACGACGGCCCGCCCGCCGUCUGCCUCGACUUCGACUCGCCUCCUGGCACGCUCGACUGGCUUGCUGGCAUUGGUAACAGCCGAAUGCCGAUGCGAUUUAAUCACCAAGCCAAAAUCCACACGCAAUGUCAGCGGGCGGCGAGCGCCCACCAGGUUUUCGCGAUGAACAUGUUUUCGCGAGGCCAGUUUUACUAUAAUAUAAAACAAACUACAAGGUGUGAGCCAUCAAUAGCUUGAUCAAGGAAACACAGGAGUUGGUCGGCCGGAUUGCGGCCUGCCAUAAAUGGAAGGCAAUUUUAGGGUUGAGCCUUGUAACAAAACUGUUAGCAACAAACAGUUUCUACGCAUCUUAAGGGCCCUCUACAGGGCCCUUAAGAAUCGCGACAGCUUAUUCCUCUCAACGGUCGCUCGCUGCCUCUAGGGAUUCUGAGCCGGUCUCCUUUCUUAAAAGCAUUUGUAUCUAUACUGACUGUGGGUCUUCUAUAGACGACGGCCUGCUGUCCUGUACGCCAUUCAUAUGUUCUGGGUCUCUGCGGCCGGGAAGGGCCCGGGCAUACUCUCCUUAAUGGUCAAAGAUAAUGGGUAGACAACCGUCACCGUAAAACUCCAGCUUCGGGGCUGACUUCCGGCAAGGUAGUUAUUGGCGCGUCGAACAUCGUGCGGUCGACCUGACCGCGCUCGCUCGCCAGCCUGAAAAAGGACUACGUUUGUGGUGCUUAAUACAGCUUUCAUACGACAUGCUGUGCUGCCUCCAUCGCGUACUGCCAGCUGACAGUCUGAAGGGCAAACGACCAUGUUGUGGUUUUGGUGGCCGCGUGGCGCCCGUUCGCCUGCGCGCCCGCCCACCGCGCCCCCGGCCAAGCUUGAGUUUCUGUGGCAUCCUUGAACUGCAUGCCCCAACAGCUCACCUAAGUAGCUUCGGUUAGUCUGCAGGUGCCAAGACGCCUUCGCGGCACUUGGCGCAGCCGGGGCUGGCCGUGCCGUUGAACACCAGGGCCAGGGCUCCCCCUCCAGCUUCCCUGCGCCAGGGCUUUGGGGGCGCAUUUAAGUGGGCGGGUCCGCAAGUGGGUGGGUCUGCUGUGAAGCCCUUCAUGGGCUGAGUCCGCUUGUUGCCUUGCUCAACAAGGGCUGCCAGGUUUGGAGUGGCCGAGGGUAUGGGCCUUUGCAUGUAGUGUCACAAGGGUGUGACUACAGCACCCGAUGUGAAGAGUCUGACGCGGGAUUGGCCCGUCAGGCACGCCACGCACCGGCAGGCACGUGCGGGAGCUGGAGCUUCACAUGUUCAUUGUGGCAAUAUGCAGCUAGUUAUUUACAUAUUCUGCAAGGGGCACGUUCCGACUCCCAUGCUCCCAUAUGCAGUUGAGAAAUGCGUCUAACCUGACAGGCUCAGGUCUCAGCAUGACUGCGCGCAUGCUUUUACUGAAGUCCAAGCCACUGCUCCACACCACACGCAACGCCUCACGUUGAUGCCCUGUGCCGCGACAAAACUGAAGAGCUGCGCGCGCCAUCUAUCUCCCGCCGGGUUCACCCAUGCCAUCGGUGAGUGAUUAUCGCACUGCAGUGUAACAAGCGAUCCGCCAAAACCCCACUCCAUGAGUCAAGUUGGGCCCUGAUAGCAUGUGAUGGCUCGGCGUCUUCGGGUGCUGGGACUGUCCCCUCUGUAACAUCCGCAUUCAUGAGUCUGAUUCCGCUCAUUCAAUGCGAAUCUGACACAGUCCACACGCCAACAAAACCUUCUUCAUCAGAACUGCCCCCUAAAGCCUCAUGGUGCAAGAUGUGUGGUCCCCCCCGCAUGGGAAAAGUGGGCUGAGCCCACGCGACGUCUCUAGUCUGAGGCCGCAAGCGUCUACCUCACCUCCCUGACAUAGCCGGGGUCGGUUCGUACAGGCACGGCCCGCCAUGUGUCCAGCCACGUCCCGCUGCCAAGCAACAGCACAGCCAGCAAUCAACCAAACAGCAGGAAACCCUCUAACAUUCCUCACUGCCCCGGCCUACCACAUACUGCCCAGCCAUCCCAAUACAGCCGCCACCUUCUGUCAGCCAGCCAUGGGCGCGACCGUCCACAGCGUUUACCGUCGGUUACGAGGUAACAUGUGAAUUCGCAACUUGCGCUACUGACUGCCUACUCUCGUGCCGCCUGCAAGCCCACUCCGCCUUCCGCUCUGGUCCACGUACGCAUUAGUUCCGCAACACACGUCAAAUACUGUGCGGUGCUAUGCUCGCCAGCAAAGACCCUAACCAGACACCGGCCGACCUCAACCUGCGCGCCGGCGCCGGUGCCGCUUGUUGGGCGCCUCAAGGUGAAAACAACAACCCAAAGCGCAACUUACCGCGUAUACGCAUAGGAUGAAUAAGACCCGUAAGUUCAGAUCUCCACCUCAAACCUCACCAGCCCAGAGUUUGCUUGGCAUGCAUGAAGCAUUUCGACGCCCUUCCGACCGCUCCAGUACCCACAAAUCAAGUUGAAUGGGGUUUCUCCAGAGCAGCUGAGGCUGGCUAUGGGCAUGGGUUGACCAGCAGCCAGGUACAGAUAGAGAUCUUUUGCCUCAGCAGUUUGUACGACCAGACUGCAUGACGCCUGAUGACAAAGUCGUAUGCACGAAACCAAACUAACUGCGAACUGCGAUCCAAGUUGUAGGUAUCCGGAGUACCGUACCUGACCCGGAUACCACACUGUUCAUAUCGCGCAGGGGCCGAAGGGGUUGCGGAGCCAACCGCCACCGGUGCCAUGUGUGAUCCAGUCAUAACGCAUUUUAGUAGACUUGAAUAAAGCUUGUUGGCCUGUUUACCAUUAAUAUGGCAUGGUUCGGCCUUACGGAAAAUGCACAGCAAUGCUGAACACGCUGGGGUGGCAACCGUGGCGCAUGUACUGCGCAACAGCCCUAGCCUGCCCCCAGUAGCACUCGCAUGCCUGCGCCCGAACUCUUGCAUCGCACACCACACUCAACCGUGUAUUGUUGCAGCAACUCAAGUCCUCGUCACGCCCCACUUGGCCCUCAUUCGGGUCAGCAGUGAUGCAUACAAGUACAUGGUAGCGCUGUCGCUGCAACCUCCAGCGCUCGCAGCUUCCGGCGGCGGCACACGCUCCCGGCGGCGGUGGGAGUACGAAGGAGGGCACGGGCCCACGCCAGCCUUGCCGCCGGCAUGACUGGCCACUCCGCCAUGUCUGUCUGCGGCGCUACCCGCAGCUGCCCCUCAACCCUUACACAGGCGCCGUCGCUGCCACCGGCUCCGCAGCAAUAGCUCAAGGGGCAGACGCCGCUGCCGCCGCUGCCGCCGUGUCACCAGCCUCAGCGCCGCUGGCGGCGGCAGCCGCCCUCCCUGCCGGCGAUGCAUCUGUAGCACCCGCGCCACCGCCGCCGUAGCUACCGCCCGUGGCGGCGGCGGAGCCGGCAGAAGCGGUUGACGCCGGAUACAGCAACGGCAGCGUCACGCUCUCCGACGGUGCCAACACGGGCAGGACGCCGCCACCGCCGCCGCCGCCGCCGCCGGUGCCCACGAGCGAGAGGUGUGACGACGAUGCAAUCCCCAGACCCAGUGACGGCAUGAGGCCGGCGAAGCUGGGGGCCUGCGAUGAGAAGGACAGCAGCCCACCCACGCCCAGGCCCGUGCCGGCGCCGCUGACCUCGCCGCCCGCCGCCGCGGCGGCAGCGGCGGCGGCCGCAACCGCGGUGGCGGCGGCCGCCGAGACGCUGGUCGCCGUCGCUGCAACCGACACGCCCAUGGCCUCAGCUGCGCUGGCGAACGCUGGCAGGGCCCGCGGCCUUGCUGCGAAGGCGGAGGUGCUGCCGACGCCUGCGGCGCCUGUAGCGCCGGUAGCUGCUGCGGCUGCAUCGCCACCGUUGCCUCCGGUGCUGGCGUCAGAGGCAGGCGGCGCAGCCGGCGGCGGCGCGUGUGACGGGGCUGCAGGCGUUGGCGAAGCGGGAGCACCAGAAGGCGCGGCGGCCGCGGCGCGGCCGAGGGCGCGCAAAGGCGUUGGUGUGCCGCCGCCGAUGGCAGCGUACGGCAGUUGGUUGCUGCCUGUGCGGAUGGGCGGUGCUGGCGGCGACGGCGGAGCUCCCAUUGCCGCCGCGAGUCCUAGGUCCGGUGCGCUGUUGAGCGCCGCCGCCGCCGCCGGCGGCAGCAGCCCGUUAUGUGUGACCCCUGCCGCUGCCCCCGCUACCGCCGCCGAGCCCGCUUCCGACACCGUGUUCAGUCCUGCAGCCGCCGCCGCCGCCACCGCCUCUGCCGCCGCCUCUGCUGCCGCCCCCAUCUGUCUGAGCGCGCGGGGUGAUAGCGGUGAGCCCAGCAAUGACGGCGCUGGCGCCGCCGCUGCCGCUACCGUCGAUGCCUCAGCAGAUGCCAGCAUCACGCGCGAGCUGCUACUGCUUCCAGCACCGCCGCCGCCGUCGCCACCAACACUGCUGGCUGCUGCAACGUUCCUGCUACUGCCACUGCCCCCCGGAAACAAGCCGUGCGGCAGCGUCCCCGGCGGCACGGGGCUUCCCGGCGGCCCCGAGCCCGAGGCGACUGCCGCCGCGCCCUUGGCACUGCUGGCGCCGCUGCCGCCGCCGCCAGGGCUGACGCCGCCGCCGCCGCCGCCGCGCGGGCGGCUGGUAAUUCGUUUCAGCACUGGACCGCCGCCGCCAAGCAGCCCGCCCAACGCCCCCCCCAGUAGUACUGGCGGCGCCAUGCCAUCCUCAUCAUCCGAAUCGUCCAGGACCACAGCCGCCGGCGGCACCGCCAGUGACAGCGGCGGCGGCGGCUCCGCGCCGCCGCCACUGACCGCUCGCGCCAUGGCUAGACGCGACGCGCUGCUGCUGCCGCCUGGCUCGUGAACUGCGUCAGCAGGUCCCUCUUGUAACCAAUGCAAUCUGCCGCCGCCGCCGGCGCUCGUGCCAAUGCCGCCGGAACGCGCGGCGGCGGCGGUACUACGGCCGCUGCCGCUGCCGACGCUGCCUCGCGCGACGCGAACCGCUGCGUCCGUUGCCGCGCCUGCCUCCGCCGACUGCGCCACCCCCGCGGCGGCCGCCAGGCCGCCGCCGCCGCCGCCGCCCUCCGGCUGCGCCGGCGCAGCCGCCGGCUGCCGCGCCGCGGCGGCGGCGGCCUGCGCCAGCAGCGCCUGCUGCUGCUGCUGCUGCUGCUGCUUCCGGGCCUUCUUUGCCGCCAACAGGUCAUUCAGCAGCCGCGUCAGCACGUCCAGAGCGUCCAGGAAGCGCGGCCGGGCAGCGGGUGAGGCGGACAGGCAGGCGGUGGCGAGGUCGCGGUAGGCGGGCGGGCAGGCGGAGGGCUCGGCGGGCCAGGUGUAGAACUCGGCGGGCAGGUUGGGGAUGCGGCGGCGCAGCGGCAGGCGGCGGGCCACUGUGGAGCCGUGGAGCAGCUCCCACAGGAUCACGCCGAAAGAGUAGCUGCCGGGGGGAAAGGGGGGAGGAGCGGGAGGGAGGCUGGGGUUAGCCAUUCAUCCAAUCCCAACGGGGCACCAGUCCAAUGAAUCGCAGCCCGCUGUCGGCUUGGGCGUACAGCGUGUACUCCGCCCCUUCCCCCUGCCCCUUCCCCUGGCCGCUCUGUGCCCCAUCCCGUCCCCCUGCCGCUCCCUGCCCCCUGCCCCUUCCCCCUGCCCCUCCCCCUGCCGCUCCCUGCCUCCCGAGCACGCCCCCCUCCCCCUCCAGCCCCACCCACAGGUCUGAGGCGGUGGUGGCUCGGCCGUCCUCCACCAGCUCCGCGGCGAUGUAGAAGGGCGUGCCGCGGCUGCGGGGUGAGGCAGCGGUGCGGGGGGAGGGGGCUACAUUCAUGACUAAUUCAACAUGACAAGGGGUGUAAUUGGGUGUGCGGGUGAAGGCCGGAGUCCCCAACUGACACGUGUGAAGUAUGGGGGGGCGGGGUUGGGUGUGCGGGCGGCAUGUGGGGCCGGGCUCACGGGCUGGUGUGAGUGGCGUGUUGCAGGACUGGCGCGAGCGGCGGGAUCAGCAGCAGCAAAGGCAGGAAGGCGGACACGUCACACGCGCGCGCUGACCUCACUCGGGCCCCCAUGACCUCCGCCCCGCAACACCGCAAUCACUCCGUCUCGCAUGUUCGGCUACCCUUCCUCCGGCUGCCUCCUCCGUCUUGCGUGCACGGCUACCCCCGCCCACACCCCGCCCCCCACUCUCACCAACCUGUUCCUACUGCCCCAACCUCGCAGCCCCCCUCCCAUCACCCCCAUGGCCCCCGCCCCCCCCCCCAUCUCACCACUCCGGUCUCCACAUGAACGUCCCCCCUACUUGGUAACGACUUCGUCUGCAGCCUUCCGUGCCGCUCCUGUACCGCUUCUCCAAACAUCCUUGCAAUCCCCCCCCCGCCCUCACCGGAUGUUGCUGAUGUGGCUCUCUCCCGCCUUGAGUUUCAGCGCCAGUCCAAAGUCCGCAAUCUUGGCUGUGAAGCCGUACCCACUGGCGGCGUUGGAGCGAAGCAGGAUGUUGGCGGGCUUCUACGGAGGGCGGGAGGGGGCGGCGGAGGGGAGCUGUUGAUGUAAGGAACGUGAUGAUAAGAUAAUUAAUAGGUCACAAGUCAUGGUCACAAGUUUCAAAGUGCCCACGUCUAGUGGGAACAGGGGAUGGGGGAGCCGUUCAUGUGAAGGACGGAGUGGUUAGGUCACAAGUGUGAAGUGCCGACGUCCAGAGGGAACAAGGGGGGAAGGGAGGGAGGGUUGGAUGAUGGGAGUUGGUGGGAUGCUGUGGAGGGUGGGGUGAAAGCGAAGCAGGAGGAGGCAGCAGGGGUAGUGGGCGGAGCGGGACGCAGCUGCGUGGCGCGGUACGGAGCGGGAAUGGCACGGGCUGGGGGACAGAGAGGGAAGGAGGCGGAGGCGGGGGCGCGGAAGGGCGGGUUCCCAAGGGGCUGGCUGGGUGUUGGUUUCGUUUGGGGUUUACCUCAUCACACACACACAUGCACUCGCGCGCGCUCCGCACCAGGUCUCCGUGUAUGAUGCUGCGGGCGUGUAUGUAGCUCAUGCCGCUGGCCACCUCGAUGCCGAUGCGCAGCGCCGUCUCCAGGUCCGCCAGCCCGCUACUGCCGCCGCCGCCGCCGCCGCCGUCAGUGUGGGUCGCUGCGAAGCGGCCGCCGUCCAGCGCGUCCUUAAGCGUGCCGCCGUCGCAGUACUCCUGAGGGCGGGCGGAGGGGAGCGGACCGGUGGGUUACAUUCAUAAUUAGGUAAGGAAAUGGUAUAAGNNNNNNNNNNNNNNNNNNNNNNNNNNNNNNNNNNNNNNNNNNNNNNNNNNNNNNNNNNNNNNNNNNNNNNNNNNNNNNNNNNNNNNNNNNNNNNNNNNNNUGGAAAGUACAACACCCCUCCCCCCCUUACAACAUUUCUCCCCCCCUACAACACCCCUCCCCCCUUACAACACCCCUCCCCCCCGCACCUGCUCCUUGAAAGAGUUGCCUCCGCCUCCGCCGCCACCUCCGCCCCUCUCGCCUCCCUCGCCUCCCUCCCCGGCGCCGCCGCCGCCGCUGCCGCCCACAAAGGCCUGGAACAGCAGCGUCUUCACCGCCACCUCCAGCCCGCGCCACUCGCCUGCGAGACACACACACGCAUGCACACAUGGACAUGGUCACGUUCGUGCACAGUGCCAACCCUUCCCAACACACUCAGUCACAACACACGCCACGCAGGAGCCCAAGCCGCUUUGGAAGCAGCCCUCUACCCCCGCAACAGGUUGCUGUCUGUCCCUGCCCCCCUUGCUGCCCCCACCCCCCCAUCGGCCCUCGGCCCGGACGUCAGCCCUGCAAACCAUCACAUCCCAUCCUUCAGCCCCCCCUCCCUCCUUUCCCUACCCAUCCAUCCCCAUCGCUUCCUCUCCCCUGGCUGGUAUCUCGUCCUCGCUCCUUUGCAUUGCGUUCGGUUCAGUUUGAGCUGGUAUCUACAACCCCCCCUCUCCAGCCCCUCUCCAGCCCCCCACCCACCCUUGUAGACCACCCCGUGCGCGCCCGCUCCCAGCUGGCACGUGAUGCUGAUCUGCUGCUGCUGCGCCCCCAGCUCCGACUGAAACGCCGCAAGCGCCGCAUACAGCUCCGUGCGUGGAUUGCUGCUCGCAGCCGCAUCGCUGCCGCCGCCGCCGCCGCCGCCGCCAGUGCCGCCGGUGCCGCCAGUGCCAGUGCCCGCGCUGCGGCCGCUCAGGCUGCUGCCGGCGACGCUGCCGGGCUUUCCGGCGCCGCCGCUGCCGCCGCUGGCAACGCUGGUUCCAGAGACGCGCGGCUUGCGGCCAGUGGCGGCGGCGCCGCCGCCGCCACCGCCCUGUGGCGGGCGCUGCGCGCCGCCCGGUCCGGCGCCGCCGCUGAUGCCGCCGCUGCCACUGGCACUACCGGGUCCAGGCGAGCUCGCAGUGAGCGGAUUGCUGCCAGAGGCUACAGAGCCCGCGCCCACCUCGCUCCCCGGGGUCCGCCGCGUCCCCGCCGCCGCCGCCGCCGCCGCCGUCACGUCGCCAGCAGCGCCCGGCGGCGAUUGCAGCGCGCGCCGCCCCGACCGGGAUCUCUGCCGUUCACGUGACGUCGCCACCGCCGCCGCCGCCGCUAGCGUGACGCCCACGCCCGCCGCCACCGCGCCGGCGCCAUUGCCACUGCCGCCGUCGCCGCCGCCGCCACUCUCCAAGUCGAGGUGCGGCUCUAUUUCCGGGAAGGCACGUGACGCCGCGCUAGAUGGCAGGCCGCUGCCGCCGCCGGCGGGGCUGGCGGCGCCGCCGGUACGGUGGUUGUACGGCCCGUGCUCGGAUCCAACCACCGACCGUGGCGGUGACGUGGCUCCGGAUCCAGGUGUGGCGGCGCCGCCGGCUGACGCAGCCGCCGCUGCGGCGGCGGCGCGUUCCCGGUGCGAGCGCAGCAGUGGCGUUGGCGUCUGCGGGGGAGCGCCGGACGAUUGCGUUGUGUCAACAGGCAUCACCAUACCCGCCCUGCAUGCUGAACACACACACACACACACACACACACACACACACACGCGCACACACACACACCUAUACACACACACACACACACACACACACACACACACAUCAAAACACACGCAUACCCACGUGCUCGCCGCUGGUGCCGCCGCCGCACCUCCCGCGGCUGCUGCGCCCGCUGCCGCCGCCGCUGCGCCGCCCAGUGCCGCCCUUGUCACUGCCCACAAAGCUCCCGCCACCGCCGCCGCCGCCGCCCGCCGCCCGCUCCUGCGCCCGCCGCCGGGCGCGGCGGCGGUGCAGGAACACUAUGCCCGCCGCCACCGCCGCCGCCAGGGCAAUGAGGCCGGCGGCGGCGCCUACGGCGGGGCCAAUCACCGCCCCGAUGUCGGUUGAGGCGGGUGCCGCCGGCACAACCACCACAACCGCCGCGGGCUGGGCGGGCGGCGGCGGCGGCGCUGCGCCGCCGGCGAGGCCGCCGGCUCCUGCUGCGGUACGGCGAUGGUACGGUGGGUACGGUUAGACGAUUGGUACCGCAGGAGAUGUACCGUAACCUAGAGGCAUGUGUCCAGGAACUGAACACUGCCUGACGGUGUUGCACGGCCUUCGUACAGCUUCGUGAGGUCGAAUGCCGAACGGCCGACUGCACCACCGUACAACGACUCUGCAGCGUGUCCGCAGUUGGCUACUCAGGCACCCCACCAGUCGACCCAGGCACCCACCCGGUGGCGGGACAGCUUGUCCGAAGAUGGCUACCCAGGCAUCCCCCCCCUCGCUCAGUAGCCCCUCGCUCAAUAGCCCCUCGCUCAAUAGCCCCUCGCUCAAUAGCCCCUCGCUCAGUAGCCCCUCGCUCAGUAGCCCCUCGCUCUAUUGCAUUGGGUUCGGUUUAGUUUGGGCUGGUAUCUACACACACAUACACACACACACACGCACACACACACACACACACCAGCCGACCCAGGUACCCACCCGGCGGUGGCACAGCGGCCGUGGGUCCCCCUCCGCCACCGCCGCCGCCGCCUGGCCCCCCGGGCAGCGGCAGCAGCGGCGCGUUGGAGCCGGGCACGGAGGCGGCGGCGGGCGGCAGCGGGCUGGCACGUGGCGGGUCGGGCGGCGGCGGCGGCGGCGGAGGCCGCGGCGGCGGGGGCGGUUCUGUGGUGGACGGGUGGUGGGAGUGGGAGUGUGGAUGCAGGGGGCCCAAGGGGGACAGCUCGGCAGCGCGUGGGCACAUCCCACACACCGGAAUGCCUGAANNNNNNNNNNNNNNNNNNNNNNNNNNNNNNNNNNNNNNNNNNNNNNNNNNNNNNNNNNNNNNNNNNNNNNNNNNNNNNNNNNNNNNNNNNNNNNNNNNNNNNNNNNNNNNNNNNNNNNNNNNNNNNNNNNNNNNNNNNNNNNNNNNNNNNNNNNNNNNNNNNNNNNNNNNNNNNNNNNNNNNNNNNNNNNNNNNNNNNNNNNNNNNNNNNNNNNNNNNNNNNNNNNNNNNNNNNNNNNNNNNNNNNNNNNNNNNNNNNNNNNNNNNNNNNNNNNNNNNNNNNNNNNNNNNNNNNNNNNNNNNNNNNNNNNNNNNNNNNNNNNNNNNNNNNNNNNNNNNNNNNNNNNNNNNNNNNNNNNNNNNNNNNNNNNNNNNNNNNNNNNNNNNNNNNNNNNNNNNNNNNNNNNNNNNNNNNNNNNNNNNNNNNNNNNNNNNNNNNNNNNNNNNNNNNNNNNNNNNNNNNNNNNNNNNNNNNNNNNNNNNNNNNNNNNNNNNNNNNNNNNNNNNNNNNNNNNNNNNNNNNNNNNNNNNNNNNNNNNNNNNNNNNNNNNNNNNNNNNNNNNNNNNNNNNNNNNNNNNNNNNNNNNNNNNNNNNNNNNNNNNNNNNNNNNNNNNNNNNNNNNNNNNNNNNNNNNNNNNNNNNNNNNNNNNNNNNNNNNNNNNNNNNNNNNNNNNNNNNNNNNNNNNNNNNNNNNNNNNNNNNNNNNNNNNNNNNNNNNNNNNNNNNNNNNNNNNNNNNNNNNNNNNNNNNNNNNNNNNNNNNNNNNNNNNNNNNNNNNNNNNNNNNNNNNNNNNNNNNNNNNNNNNNNNNNNNNNNNNNNNNCACCCGCACACGCCGCCCACCUGCAGCGCCGCCGGCUGCGCGCCCGGCCGGCCUAGCCCCAGGUUCAUGAGUGACAGGAAGCGCAGCCGCAACACCGAGUAGGGCGGCACAGCCACCGCGCCUGUGUGUGAUUUAAAGAGCACAAAGAAAACAUUACGCGUAGGACUGUGUGUGCGUGUUGGGAGGGGGAUUCCAGGCACGAUUAGUCAGGAGAAGACGGCAAAGAAGGGUUAAAUGCAGGCGCCAGCACACAUAGGUUGGAUGAGGACAAACCGCAUGGAGGGGGAGUAGCCGUUCAUGGGGAACAGAGUGAUUGAACCAGUCAGCCCCCCAUCCCCGUGCCUGGUUAUCCCCAAUUUUGGGUUGGCAACGACUCCUUGGUUAUUGGGACCUAAUCCGUUGGGCUCGGGCACAUCAUUCCCCCCUUUUCUGCAUUGAGUUCGGUUUAGUUUGGGCUGAUAUCUACAAACGCCCCUGCCUGCCUGCCUGCUCACCGCUGAUGGCCUGCAGGCUGAGCGCCCGCACGGCUGUGGUCUGGCCGUCGCCCCAGAUGGUCAGGUUGGAACUGAGGGCCAGGCCGGCGGAGGGGGCGUACAGCUGGGCCUGAGGGGCAGAGGGGGGGAUUUCAAGGUUACAACAUUAGGGGGGCUACAUUCAUGAUUAGUUAAGGAAGUGGUAGACGGUAGAGCAUCUUGGGGAACAUCAAGGGGGGCCGGGGGUUCCAUGCAUGUCAAGUCAAGACGAGAUGAUGUUGGCAGGUUGUUUCAGAGGUGGGCGGGCGGGUUGGCGAUGCGCCGUUGGGGUGAAUCGGAGGUUGAAUCGGGAAGGUUGGGUUGGGAACGUCGAGCAGACCACCUCCGCCACACGCCCACGCCCACGCCCACAUGCCCCAUUCACACAUGCCGCCCGCCUCCUCAACCCCCCUGCCUGCCUGUGCUCCGCUCGUUCUCGUUGGUUUUGGGUUAGUUUGGGCUGGUAUUUACAACCCCCCCUUAAUUAAUCAUGAAUGUAACCCCCCCCCCCCCCACACACACACACACACACACACCUCCCUCCCCUCUGGCGCUGGACCUGUGGACGCAGUCGGUCAUCGGUACGCGCACCCCUGCGCCCGCUGUCUACUCCGCUACAUUUGCCUGUACCAAUCUUUACAAUCCCCACCCCCCAACCCCUUGACAGUCCCCACUCCUCACCCACACCCCCACCUGCAGUGUGUUGUCCCCCCGCAGCACCACCACGGAGGCGGCGGUGAAGGCGGUGGGGUCGAGCAGCAGGCUGGAGGCGCGGACCGAGGACAGCGGCACAGGGCCCACCUGCGGGGGGAGGAGAGAAAAGGGGAAGGAGGCGGGCGUGGAGGGCUACCGUGAUCCAAAACCCAACCCCGAUCCCCGGUGCCCCCACGCACCUCCCCAAUACCCUCCUCCCCAGCACCUGUCCCCCCCCCCAGCUCCUCCCCAAUACCCUCCUCCCCAGUAUCCUCCUCCCCAUUACCCUCCUCCCCCCCGCCCCCACCCCCGCCCCCACCCCCAAUCUCACCCCCAAUCCCACCCCCACCGCACCGUGCCGUACGGCGCCAGUGUGUCGAGCAGGUCCUGGCGAGAGGCGGCGGCGGUCAGGGGGGCCAGCGCCGCCAGCGGCGUGGCGGUUAUGCGGCAGUUGGUCCACGUCAUGCUGCCGUACAUCCACUCCCAGUACGGCACCUGCAGCGGCGGGCGGCGGCGGCGGCGGCGCAUGCGAAAAAAACAGUUGGGCGUUCAUGCCUGACUGCGCCUUCCCCUCCUGCACCCGGCACAGCGGACACGACAUCCUCCAACCCUCAAAACACACAGGCACAUACACACACACGCACACGCGUCUCCCCCACCUGGAUGCUGCCGUCCCCCGCCAGCGCCAGCCCAGGGCUGUACGACCGGAUGAGGCUGUCGACGCCCUCCAUACCGCCCGCCAGCGCGGCGCCAACCGCCGCCCGCCACCAGGCCAGCUCGCUAACCGACACAACAAACGUCACGUCGGUUGCCGUCAUGCGCAGCGGAGACUCCAGAGAUGCCAGCGGUUGCCUGGUUGGGACGAUAACGGUACGUUUGCGGGUGAGCGCACGCCGAAAACGCAAACGCUUACCACUCAAGUCCACUCCACCCACCCCACCCCGUCCACCUCCUACAAAGCCCACAAUCCAAACCCUGCAAACCCCUCCCCCUCAUUCCAUACUACGGUACCUCCGUUUAUCCACUCCUCCUUGGCUGCCCACCCCCACAGCCACCCCACCCCAUCCCCGCAACCCCACCCCUACCCACCCCACCCGCACACACAACCCCACCCCACCCCACCCCACCCCACCCCACCCGCACACACAACCCCAACCCACCCCACCCCGCACCCCCACCCCACCCCACCCCGCACCCCGACCCCAUCCCCGCACCCCCACCCCACCCCGCAUCCCGCACGCCCAGCCCACCUCUUGAAGUCCAGCAGCCACAGUGCCGCCGUCACCAGCGCCGCCGGGUACUGCGCCGCCGGCCCCAGCGCCAGGCCCGCCACCGUCAGCCGCCGCAGCUCCAGUCGGUUGGCGUCGCCGUCGCCCGCCACCUGAUGGCCGGGAGGGGAGAGGGAGGGGGGAGGGGGAUGUCCGGAAGGGGAGAGGGAAGGGGUGACACUCAUGCUUGUUUAUGAAGUGACGGCGUAGCCAGGGGGGAGGGGGGAUGUUCGGAAGUCUCGGGGGGAGAGGGAGGGGAGGCAUCCCAAACCCAACCAACCCAAGGGGGGUUCCAGUCACACCAGUCCGAAGGGCCGACGGGGCCGGGGUUACGGCGAUCAGGGGAGCCGCAGGAGUGGUGGCACGGUACGACAGUACAGCACGGCACGGUGUGUUUGGACGCGGUGCGGUAGGGUUCGAUGAUGUUCAGCAAUGUAGUGCACAAAGCAGGCAUCCCGUACACACACACACACACACACACACACACGCGCGCGCGCGCCGUACACAGAUACACACACGCGCGCGCUCCCCUCUCUCACCACCAUGAUUCCCGCCAGCUGCCGCAGGUCCACCUGCACCGCCGCGUCGGGCGGGCCUGCGCGGGGGGGGGUACAUUCAUGAUUAGUAUAGGAAGUGAAGUCGUAGGCAGGUGCAGUCGCAUAGUAGACGGGCGGGGGGAAGAGGAGGGACAGGCGGGACAGGCGGGGCAACCGGACCGGACAGGCGGUCAGGGUGAAGUGCGGAGGAGCUUGAAACAACACCGAUACCGUCUGUGACACACCCGUGCAGUCGGGCACGGACGUAUGAUGGCACAAACCCAGCAGUUCCGCCUGUGUGGCGCCGCGCGUUCCCCCCUCCUCCCCCUCCUCCUCCCCCUCCUCCUCCCCCUCCUCCUCCCCCUCCUCCUCCCCCUCCUCCCCCUCCACCCUCCUCCUCCACCCCUCCCCCUCGCCCCCCUCCUUCCCCCACUCCUCCAACCCCCUCACCCGCUAUGACGGUGCGGUUCACGGCCGACAACGUGCCGGCUCGCAUAUAGCUGGUGUCGGCACUGAUGUUGGCGCCCACCAUCGCAUACAGCGACCCAAGGGACAGCAGCGGGUUGAUGCGCGCCAGGGAGCGGGCCAGCUGCUCGCCGCUGCCCACGUAGGAGGCCACGCAGGGCAGGUACAUGGGCUGCAGGGCGGCUGCGGGCGGGGAGGGGAAGGGGAGGGGAGGGGGGGAGGAGGGGGAGGGGGGAAUGGGAGGGGGAAGGCAGGGGGGUUUAGGGAAGGGGGGCAGAACGCCAGGCGGAGGGGAGAGGGGGCGGAAAGACGGCGGGCCUGCACGGUGGGCACGGCAGGGUGAAGGCACCAGAGGUGGGGGUUCUGCAAGAACGACUCCCAAACCCCAACCUCCAACCCCUCACCUGCGUUCGACAGUGGGUCCGUGGCCGCGGUGAAGAUGGCGGGGGCGGUGCUGUUGGUAGCCUCAGGGCCGCAGCGUAGUGACACGUUGUAAACCGACAGCGACACGCCCCCACCGCCUCCCCCCGCUACCCCCGCCGCCGCCGGCACAACCAGCCGCCGCACGCGCACGCUCCACGUGAACACCUGUUGUGUUGCGCCGUGCAGGGGGUGUAGAGUGGCGUCGGAGUCAGGCCAGGUUGGGGCCUUCUAGUGAGGGACGGAUAGUCGCGGUUGCCUUGAUUGUAUUCCAUGAAUUCACAGUGUUAGCAGCAGAUGCAAGCGGUGCCUGGUAUGCGCCGUGUGCGGUGUGAUGCGUGGGUGCCAAACCCUGUCUCGGAGUCAGCGUGCUUCACCCCACCCCAUCCCACCCCAGCCCCGGCCUUUCCCGGCCUCCGCGUCCUUUCCCGGCCCUCUCCUCCCGCCAGCAGCUUGCCUCGUAGCUGAAGUCUGGCAUUUGGUCGCACACGUAGUCGCGCAGUGCGCUGACAACGCUGCAGUUCACGUUGAUGGCGAUGUUCCGCAGCACCAUCUGGGAGGGCGGGGCGACGUCGAACAUGGGCAGCUGCAGGAACGACGCCGGGUUGGAAAGGUCCAACGAUGUGUCGUUCGCCAGCACCAGUCCCAUGUUUGCGAGCUCGAGCAAUGUACCUGACGGCAAAGUGCCACAGCAACAAUUCAGAAACCAUCGUUAUACGGUCGCCUUUGCGAGCCGAUGACCCCUCGUGUGCAAUUUCGCGAUAUCGCUGCACGAAGUUCAUACUGUAGCUGUUUAACCGUGUCGAAAGCAAAAUGCGACGGAACAAAGUCAACUUGCUUGCAACGAGCAACUCACCGUUCUGCAAGCGAAUCGUGCCGUUUAUCGACGGGAGUGACAACCAAACGCCACGGCUGCCGUUGAUUGUCAACGUGCGACCAUCGACGAUGACGGGCGUGGUGUCCACCGCCAAGCUGCGAUUCAGCGACACCACGCCCUGCACCUCCGAUGAUAGCAAAGACUCAAACGACUGAGUCUGGCUGCUCGCAAGCUGCAAUACGAGCACAAGGGCAAGCAGCGCCCAAACAAAAGCCGCUCCCCUGCUGCACCGUGGCUUCAUAUCCACCUGCUCAGCUACACUACGUCACUAUGCCAAAGCCUAACAUAGUCAUAGUCGCCAACCCCAUGGUGGGAUGGGCGCACGCGUCUGGAAAGUUACAAUAGCUUUGCUGGCGGUGUGUUGAAGUUUGUAUAAUUAUAGGCGAUACCGUGUAUCAAGAGCUGGCUGGGGAUGCUUCGACCACCCCGCCGGAUGUGUGACCUGGUCAUUGCAGGAUAGGGUUGCAGGGUCCCCCGCCCUUGCAGUCUGCCUGCCCGCGUGUCAAGUGUGGCGCUGACGCCGCUUGACGCACCCAGUAUCCCACACACACUCAAUGCGUCGCAAUGUCGAGCUACUACCGCGCACCACGCGCGCGCGGGUGGGCGUGGCUUAACUGUGCGGGCGCGCACAAGCGUCGAGGGAGCCUCAGCAGCUGAGGGCAAGGCCGGGGACGCCGCGUGCCCGAAGGCCCUGGUCACAAAUGCGCAGGUUCGCUGUUACAGGAUCACAGUCGGUCAGUCGCAACAUGCCGUGUUGCCAAUUUGGCAUUGAUUGCAACGUGGCGCUAUGGCGUCAGCUGGCAUGCUUGUGAUGACACCGACACGAGGCCAAGCAGCCCACAUCUUAGCUGGAGCUUAGCUAUUGCAACGCAUGUCAUCAGCCUGUGACACUCACGCAGUCAGGGUGUCCUGCUCACAGUGACGCAAUUGCAUGGCCAACAUUACCACUCAGAUUACCACUGCCUCCUUAUCUCCUCACGCAUGUGUACACAUUUACGUGCGCCCACACGCCCACACUGGUUACCCUGCGUCCCUGUCCAAGACCGGCCGGAUGGCCUACGAUGAACGUACAAUUUCCAGCAACUGACAGUACAGCCCAGCGCGCUUCGCUUGGACUCUGGGUCUGGUUCUGGUAGCCCCCACCGUUGCAGCCAAGUGCGUGGAAGGUGCAUGCUACUGCGCACGGCACCGCCACACGAUCCCCCAUUCCUCCCCGCCCCUGCCUACUGCCAGCGCUGUCUGCUCAUCUCUACGCUCACCAAGGGUAGAUCACUGUCGGACCCGUGGGGAGCGCUUGCCCGCCGGCGCUGCCAACUUGCGCUGAGCCGCUAUGCCGCGCAUCCUCCCCGCCGCUGCUAUCACUGCCAAUUCCACUGCCGCCGCCGCUAAAGCGCCAUGAGUCAUCCAGAGACAUGCGGCGUGCAAGCCGCCGCGGACCUCGACGCGUCGCGGCGGCGUCGCCCGCCCCGCCCCGGUACCCCUGCUCAUGCUCUUGCGCCGAGCCGCUGUGCCUCUCGCUGCUGCCCUCGCUACUGCUCUUGCUGCCGCUGCAGCCGCAGCUGUCGUCACUGGCACUGUCCGCCAUGUUUGCUGCCUCUGCCGCACCUCUCCGGCGGCCCGCCUGCCCCGUUAAGCAUCCAUGGCUAUCGCCACCGCCGGUGCUACUGCCACGUGCGUCAGUGGCUCUCGACCGCCCAUCAGCGCCGCCGCCGCCACCGCCGCUGCCGAAGACACCAGGUGCGCUGCUGGCGGCUGCGCUAGAAGGAGCCCCGAUGCCGUCACGAAGGCCCAACGUCGCAUGCGCGUCCACCGUCGCCGCUGCAGCCGGCGCCAUCACCUUGACUGCGAGCUGAGAGCGGCCCUCGUCUUUGUCCGCGUCUCCACCGCAGCGUUCGCUGCUGCUGGCGCCGCCGGCACCCAGACCACGACCCCGCUUCCAGCCGCACGGCCCCCCUGCCCCUCCGCCUCCGCCUCCGCCUUCCCACUCUGCUCCUGCAGCGCCCGCUGCUGAUGAUGCUACUGCUGCCAGUGAUGUUGCUGCUGCAGCCAGCAUUGGAGGUGCGAGUAAAGAGCCGCCGCAGCUGGCGCCCCACACGCCUGAGCCGCUGUGACGCCGCGGGCGCCACGCAGGUGCCGCCGCCGUCGACGUUGCAGCAGAGGCGGCGGCAGUCUGCACCUCCGCCGCCUCCUCCGCAUCUUCCUCGUCUUCUGAGGAUGGCUCGCUGCACGCCCAAGAGCCCCCGCCAUCGCUGUCGAAUGCUGGGGCAGCAGCCACGCCCGCGGCCGCGGCUGCUUCAUCCGGGGAAGCGAGGCGCGCGGCAAACGCGGAGCCGUGGGCCCAAGAAGCACGGCUGGCCGGGGCAGUGGCUGGCGCGUGCGCUGGCUCCUUGUAAGAUUGCAGCGACCUGCGAGUUUUGGGGUGAAUUACUAGAUUAGAGGUGGCAGCAAGUGCGGUUGGAGUUCAAACGAGCGGGCACGGUCAACCACAGGUGCCAACUGCAGGCGCCAACUGACGUGCACGCAACACCUGCAAACCCCUGCAUACUCGGCUUGGUGAGGAGUUGUCACGCCCGCGAUAGAUCACAGUAGCACACAGCAGCCCAAUGCGACGCGACGCCGCGACCCACAUGGCUUCCCGCGUCCAGGCGGCCACCUCCUCCGGGUGCUCACUUCGCACGCCGUAGCCCGCAGUGAGCAUGCCGCCCACGCGCUCCACCGCGUCGGCGUCGCCUUGCAGCGCUGCCUACAAACCCGCAAUAUGCAAAGUUUCAGAAUUCGUCCUGGCAAGUUUGCGUGCUGGAAAGGAGCGCCCACCUUCAAGUCUUCCAGAAGCCAUCUCGCCUCACACCGUGCCACGAUGCGCCCAAGCGGAGUUCCACGUCUGAAGAAUAUGUCAGGAGUUACAUCGAACGCACUUCAAUGCUGCAACAAACGACCAGGGCCCGGCCCUUCGCAGCUUGCGCAAUCCUUACUUGUCCGCUGCCGCUGUGGCCUGUUCUCGAAGUGUCUUACGACGAGCUCUUAUACGUAGCGGCUUUCCUAGCAGCCCAAGCAGCCCAUAGGCCGCCAUGCCCGUCGCUGCGACCAACACGAUUAGCGCGUGCUGCGCGAAAGGGCGCCUUGCUUGCUCCAUUCUACGCAGUUAAAACAUGCCAGGUAAUUCUUCGUGUGUUUCAGCUUUGGGGAGGGUUUGGCCUGGGCGACGGGUGGCCGAAUUGGGCACGAUCACCCUCGCUUGAGGGCUUCCCCAGCCCGUUUAAACAUCGCCCCUUUGCACAGUGGAGCAACGAACCUUCAUUUAAAAAACUGCCCCUGUCCCCCUCAAGCUUGUGUGAAAUGCAGCUUGCGCCGUCCUGGCUGUCCCGCGGGGCGCCCCGCGGUACCGGCGGCAGUCGCGCGGGCCUGCUGGCGCCCCGGCACCGCCUGCCUCUCCUGCCAGGCAGCCUGCGCCUCACCACAGCGCUAACCAGAGGCUUCAGAGAGGUAAGCGAGCGUCGGGACUUCGCCUGGAGCGCGCUUAAAAGCGGAGAACGGCUUGCGCGGUGGCGUUGCGCCUCUGUUCGAGGGACGAGUUUUGCUACCUCAUCCUCCUGCUAUCAGCCCAGGCCUUGUUUGCAAUGACCUUGCGGUAACGGGUGUUUUCCUGCUGCCUCCACAGAAUCGCGACGCAGGGCCAGGCGGGGGCGCUCAGCGCGAAGGCGGUGGCUCUGACGCAAGCACACCGGCGCCGCGGCAGCAGCAACAACAGCGGCAGAAGCAGCCACCACCGGCGCAGCAACACAGCCAGCAGCCGCCGCAGCAACAUUCUGCUGAUGUGCCCGAGCCGGCCGCAGCCGACGACAUCGUCACCGACUGCUUGCCAGCGCCGCCGUCCCAGCUUCCGCGAGAGCCGCAGCAGCCGCCGCAGCCACAGCCACAGGCGCAGCCGCAGGCGCAGCCACAGGCGCAGCAAAGGCGCAGCAAGCGGCGGGACAAGCGGGGUAAGGAGGCCAAGCUGCCGCGUGGGUCGGGCCCAGGCACCGUCCGCACCGGAGGCAGCAGCAGCGGCAGCGGCGGCAGCAACAGCGGGCCCGAAGGGCUGGAAGAAGAAGCUGCGGCGGCGGGCCAGCAGGGUUUGGAUGUGGGGGCUGGUGACGCACGAACGGCAGAGGCGGAGGGCGGAGGGCCAGAGGCGAUUGUGGCGUCGGCCGCCAUACCAGCGCCCCUGGGUGCGGUGGAGGCUGGCACCGAUGCUGAUGGCAGCAGCAGCGGCAGUAGCGGCAGCAGUAGCGGCAGUAGCGGCUUCCUCCAGGGCGCGGGUCCAGCUACUGCCGCCGCCGCCUCCGCUGCGGCUGCGGCGGCUGCGGCGCUGCGAGGGGCUCGGGAUGCGCCUGUUGCCAUUGCCGGUGUGGUGGUGCCGGCGGGUGUGCGCCAGCAGGUGCAGGAGCACGUGGAGGGGCUGCGGCAGGAGGGGCAGUGGCAGGAGGCGGAGCAGCAGCAGGGGGAGCAGCAGGAGGGGAAGCUGCAUGAGGAGGGGGAGCUGGAGCGGCUGCAGCAGGAGCAAGGGGGAGUCCAGCAAGCGCAGCAGCAACCAGAAGAGCUGCAGGCGCAGGCGGGCAGCAUGGGCGAGUCAAGGGCGGACGGGGCGGGGGAGGCAGAGCAGGUGGAGGCGGAGGAGGCGGAGGAGGCGGAGGAGGAGGCCGAGGUGGGGCGGGCGCAGUCGCAGAAGCCGCAGCCUGACAUUCCGCAGCUGAUCCAGCGGGACCAGCGGGAGCAGCGGGGCCAGCAGGAGGAAGAGGUGGAGCAGCAGGCGGCGGCAGCCGCAGGGGUGCGGCCCGCCGCCUCCCAGCCCACAGCCACAGCCACGGCGGCGGCGGCGUCAGGACUGAACGAGGUUGGCGACGUGGCCAAGCCGCUGGGUGGGCAGGGGCCACGCGGACCUGUGGCGGCACAAGCCGCCGCAGCCGCCGACGUGCAGCCGGGUGUGCAGCAGGAGCAACAGGAGGAGCAGGAACAGGAGGAGCAGGAGAGGAAGGAGCAGCAGGAGCAGGAGCAGGAGCAGGAGGAGGAGGCGAGGGAGGAGCAGGCGAGGGAGGGGCAGGCGCGGGCGCAGGCGAGGGAGGAGCAGGAGCAGGAGGAGCAGGCGAGCGAGGAGCUGGAGGCCUGGGCUGGGGCUGAGGCGACAGCGCCGCCGCACGAGCCCUAUGACCUGCUGCUCGGCAACAGCCCCGGGGCUGAGUCCGCCGCCGCCGCUGAGCCCAGUGUUGGGGUGGGAAGCCCCGGCACCACCAGUAGCAGCGGCAGUAGCAGUGGCAGCAGCAGUGGCAGUGGCAUCAGUGGCAGUAGCAGCUACAGCGGAGCUCACACCGGACUUGCUGAGGCGGUCCGACACGCCGCAGCCUCCAGCGCCUCCUCCGCCCCCGGCCCCGCUCCCGCCUCCCACUCACCCUCCGCCCAGCACGCCGACAGCCACGGCAGUGGCGAUGAUCAUGCCAGUCACGGAAGCAGCAGUGGAAUUAGCAGUGGCGGCGGUGGCGGCGGCGCCCAGGAGGCUGCCGCACGGCCGGCCUACGACCAGCUGCUGCCGAACACACCUUCCUCACCCGCCGGCAGUGGCUACCCACCCGAGCAGCAGCAAGGGCAGCAGUCACGAGGCCAGUCACACGCUCGGGUGCAGUCGGAGCAGCCGGAGCAGGCGCAGCAGCAGGAGCCGCAGGAGACGCAGGAGACGCAGGAGGAGCAGCAGGAGGAGCAGGGGCAGGCGCAAGAGCAGGCUCUGCCGCGGGCCCCUGCAGCCCAGGUGGGACCGCAGCAACAGCCGCCUCCGUCAGCGCCGCCGCAGCAGCAGGGGCAGCAGCAGGGGCAGCAGCAGCAGCAGCAGCAGCAGCAGCCUGAGGACUCGCCCGCCGCAGUGCAGCAGAGGGUGCCAGCGGAGGCCGAGGCGCCGCUGCAGCCGCAGCAGGUGCCGAUGCCGGCGCCCAGCGCUGCAGUGGCAGCGGGCGAGCAGCGGCACUGGCAGCAGGUGGAGGGGGAGGUGGAGGGGAAACGGGCUGGGAACGAGGCCCAGACCGAGGCAUCAGGGGUCCAGGCGGCGGGGGCCCAAAGGGCCCCGGACGUGCUUGCGGGUGCGGAGCAGCCUGAGGCUGUGUUGUCUCAGGUGGCAGCGCUGCCCCCUACUGGCGAGGUGGGUGAGGCGCCGGCACUGGUGGCGGUGGUGGUGCCGGCGGAGGUGCGGGAGGCGGCGCAGCAGCGGGCGGAGGCCGUGGCGGGGGCGGGAGUGGAAGUGGCGGAGCAGCCGCAGCUGCCACAACCUCAGGGGCAGGUCCCGGAGGGAACACUCCCCAGCGGUGCACAGCAGCAGCCGCUGGCGGGCGCGCCAGGCGCUGAGCAAGAGCGACAUCAGGCGCAGCAGCAGCCUCAGGCGCAACAGCAGCAGCCACAAGCGCAGGCGCAGCAGCAGGCUCAGGCGCAGCAGCAGCAGCCACAAGCGCAGCCUCAGGCGCAGCAGCCACAGGCGCAGCAGGAGGUCGGCGGGGACAGAGCCGGCCGCCAGUCGCAAGUGACCCUGCAGGGUGAGGAGCAGGAGCAGGCGCAGGCGCAGGGGCGGCUGCCGGAGCAGGGGCGGCCGCAGGAGCAGCAGCAGGGGCGGCUUCCGGCGCAGGAGCAGGCGCAGGAGCAGGGGCGGCCGCAGGAGCAGCCACACGAGCAGCCACACGAGCAGCAGGCGGCUGCGCUGCAGGGCACUGGGCGUCAAUCCCGGGCCACGCAACCUCAGGUGCCGGGUACAGGGGCAAGGGUCGAGGCGGUCAAGGAGAGUCUGGAGAAGGUGGAUGAGGGCGCGUCUCGCCGGCAGCAGCACCUGCAGCAGGAGCAGCUGCAACAGGAAAUCCCGCGGGAGCAGCUACAACAACAACAGCACCAGCACCAGCACCAGCACCAGCACCAGCAGCAGCCUCAGGCUGAGGAGCAGCAUGGGUCGGUGCUUCUGGCGCCGUUGCGCUUUGCGGGCUGGCUGGUGUCGGCUGUGCUGUGGGGGUUGGGCUGGGUGGUGGCGGGGCUGGGCAAGGCCACCUGGUGGACGGCCGCCUCCUCCGUCCGGGCCGUGCUGGCGGUGCCGCGAGCGGUGCUGGCGGCGGCGGCAGCGCUGGUGCGAGGGCUGGGCGAGGCUGCAGGUGCGUCGUGGGCUUGGUGGGAGGGCGGCGUGUGGGUUUGGCACGCGGCAGGACUGCGAUGGGCAGUCCCAGGUAUGUGCGUUACGUCACGGUGUAUCGCUUCAAAGCUAUUACAUUUAUGGGUUUCUCUUAGGCCUGGGCUAGGCUGCGGGUACAGUGUGUGGCCUUAGAGGCUUCGUUGUGCGGAUGGGCGUGCCGGGCCACGUGUGCGUCUUGGCAUGCGUGACGCUGCCUGGAGCAACACACGUGAACACCGCGCCCAAACCUCAUGCUCACGCCCGAUGCUGCACGCACAGGCCGGGCGGUCCUACCCCACCACGAGGCGGGACCCCUGGACCGGACCACCACCGCCGUACAGCCCGUCGGCGGCGGCGCGCUGCCGUCGGGCGCCGCCGCCACCGGCGGCCACGGCUCCGCCCUAGCCGCCGCCGCCGGCGCCACGCCCACCCUGCCCGCCGCCGCCGGCCCGCUGGGUAUGGGGUACGGCGGCCUGGCGGCGGCAGGGAUGCCGUACGGCGCCGCCGGCAUGGGCACGAUGCCGUACGGCAUGUACAACAACAUAACGCCGUACUCGGCGGGCGGCCUAGGAAUGUACGGGGGCCUGGGCGGCGGGGCGGCUGCCGCCGCAGCCGCCGCCACCCCAGGCGCCAUUGGUGCGGCGCCGGUGAACGUGCCAGCCUCGCCGUACGGCGCAGCCGGUACGACACUUGGCGGCGUACCGCCAGGUGGCGUGGCCGGCGGCAAUUACGGCGGCGGCGGGUACGGCGGCGCUGGCGGCGGAGUGGGCCUGGGAGGCGGCGGCGGCGGCGGACAUGCGGCGCCGCCGGUGGCGGGCGGUGCGAAUGCGGUGGAGGUGCCUGAUGCCAUGACGGCGGCGGCUCCGGACGGCAGCGGCGCUCCGGGUAGGAUGGUGGCGCAGCAUGAUGCCAGAACCGGGUGCAGAGGACAUACGGUACACACACGUACACACCCAGACCCUUCCUUUGCGCUAUUCUUACAAACACCAAAACACGCAUGCGCGGCUUGCUUGCGCAUCAACAUACACCAUGCCAAGUUUGCUAACCUUCUCCCCUUGUGCUUUUCCUGACAUGACACACGCUUCGUCUUCCCUGGCACGCACGCGCUCCCCGUGCCGCAGGUGUGAUCGCCACGGCCUACGACGCGAUGGUGCUGGGCUGGGGCCAGACACACCACCCGGGGCUGGGCGGCGCGGGCCAGAUGGUGCGGGACCAGGUGGGUGGGCAGGGAGGGGGGGUAGGGGGGCAGGUGUGUGUGUGUGUGGGGGGGGGGGGUUGGGCGGCGCGGGCCAGAUGGUGCGGGACCAGGUGGGUGGCCAGGGAGGGGGGGGGCAGGGAGGGGGGGGCAGCGGGGCGUGUGUGUGUGUGUGUGUGUGUGUGUGUGUGUGUGUGUGUGUGUGUGUGUGUGUGUGUGUGUGUGUGUGUGUGUGUGUGUGUGUGUGUGUGUGUGUGUGUGUGUGUGUGUGUGUGUGUGUGUGUGUGUGUGCGUGUGUGUGUGGGCUGGGCGGCGCGGGCCAGAUGGUGCGGGACCAGGUGAGUGGCCAGGGGGGCGUGUGCGUGUGCAGGGGACGUGUGGACAGGGGGGCGCGUGGGCAGGGGGCAGGGUGGGCAAGGUGGCGGGUGGGCAGGGACGUGUGGGCGUGGGCGAUGGAACUGCGAUGGCUAGGUGCCAGCACUAUGCAGGGUGCUGGUGGGGCAUGUGGGUUUACCGCCGGGGCCUGGGGAGGUUGCCCUCGAUCGCUCAUCACUGGUGGGGUGGCGGCUUGCUGGGGGUUGCUUACUAGGGCACAAUACCGCGGCACGCUGUUGCUGCACUACCCAGCUGCUACUUGUCAUUUAUGUUCACCCUCCGCCUAGGCAUGUUUCCAGGUGCCUGCCCGCUUCAUUCCUGGUAUGCUUAGAUCAAUAAUAACUGCUUUCCGACGCCCGACGCCUGACCUGCCUCCGCCCCCCACAGGAGAUCCUGGCUGACGGCUGGGGCGAGGAGGUGGCGGAGGCGGUGGAGGCGGUGGGCGGUGCGGCGCUGGGAGCAGGAGGCACAGCGCCCAUGGGCUCGGCCAUGGGCAUGGGCGGGUGAGCAGCCGGGCUACUCUAGUUUACUUGGGAGUUUGGGACGCACCCUUACUCGGAACGCCACGCAGGGUGACGCAAGCGGCAGGCCGAAGAUAGACCAGGCGACGAAACAGUGGCGUUUGCUCUGGUGCACAAACGCUUGUGUGGCGUGUGACGUGUGAUGUAUAAUGCUGCGUACUGCAACCGCGCACAACGCCAGGAACGGUUGCGUGAACGAUGUGCAUGCAGGCCGUACGGCGGCGGCGGCGCGGGGGGUCUGUACGGCAACUCGUACGGCAUGGUGACGCCCAUAACCACCAGCCCCAGCGCGGGUACGGUGCUGGGGGCGGCGGUGGGCGCGCUGGUGGGCGGCGCGGCCUCGGGUACGUGCCAGGUUCACGUGUGCGUGUGUGCUUCAUCAUGUGCCGGAUACCCCUGCGUGUGUGCUUCAUCGUGUGCCAGAUGCGUGCGUGUGCUUCGUCAUGUCGCGAGAUGCAUGACGAGAUGGGCUGCUGGCGUCGUCGGUGCAUGCGUGAUAGGGUACUGCGUCAGCCUCAACCAGUCAGCUGCGUGCUACGGCACCAGGGCAGCGACAGUGGCGCCUCACGCGGGCCCACCGUGCCCUUCCUGUGCGUGCGGCUGCACAGGUCCCUUCGGCGGCCCCCUGGGGGCGGCCCUGGGCGCGGCGGUGGGCGCGGCGGCGGGCGGCCAGGUCACAGGGGACGUGUCUGUGCGGCCCAUGCAGGUGCGCGUGUGUGCGGGCGUGUGUGGCGUUUGUGCGUGCACGUGUGCGUGUGGGCUUGCGCCUGUGUGACUGGGCUUCUAUGACUAAGCAUGCGUGUGUGCGUGCGUGUGCAUGUGCGUGGGCGUGGGCAUGGCGUGCGUGUGCGUGUUCACGUGCAGAUUUGGAGGCGGCAAAGGCACCUCUGUGGGGAGGGACGAGAUCGCGUGUUUCGCAUUACCGCGUUUGCAAAAGCGGGCGCCCAAAGCUUCUCCAGCAGACAUGCACGCACGUGCACCAAUCAGUCACAUGCGGUCUUGCGGCCAUGUGGCAUGCCUGCAUGCAGGUGUUCACGGGCCCAGGCGGGGAGGGCGUCGCCAUUGCGCCGCAGCCGCAGGUGUGUGGUGAAAACUGGGGCUCGGGCCGUGAGGGGGGUGGCGAGGGCGGGGUGGUUGCCCCCUCUCCCAUCACUCAUCAGGCCUUCAAUGGGCACCGCACGGUGCCGUCAUGAUCUGAUGGUCGAUUGGCCGGUGCCGUACUGCCGCUACACCACACGGCAGCACGCCGGGGCGCAAUUGAUGAUCUCCGCUGGUGUAUGUGAAGCGGUGUGAGCUCAAUAUACUUGCACAGCCCUUCUCCCGUUAGCUGAGUACCCUAAAGCCGAAUGCCGCCGCCAAGGCGCCAAGGGCGCAACUGCCACUCGUGCAUAACCACCAAUCAACUUACCCGUUCUUCACAGGUGGUGGUUGCCAACGACUCGCUCAACCUCCUGGGUGCCGUGGUCGGCGGUCUGGUCGGCAGCACGUCUGGUCUGGGCCCACGGGCCGUACUGGCGGGCGCCGCCGUCGGCGCCGCACUGGCCAUGCUGAUGGCAGUCACGGGCCGGCGGUACACGUACGUCAGCCGGUACGGCGCGCGUACGGCAGGCGACGCACGGCGGGCGGCGCGGCUGUUCGGCUGGCUGCCUGGCGGCGGGCUGCGGCUUCCUGGCGCGGGACUGCUGCCGCCGUUCCGGUUCUAGACUUCUAGUACGGUGUGCGAUGGGACAGUGUUUAGGCAGGUUGGCGGGGGCCUGUAGGGUGCAGCUGACGCCCAGAACCCAGCAGAUGGCAAACAAUUUGCAACGGCAGGGCAUUAAUGCGCGCCUGCGCGGCUGCGCGGCUGGUCGAACAGUCGAGUUAGUUGCUGGCUGGCUGGAGGUUUGCUGAUGCGCAUUCCUCACGCUCCGGGCGCCCGUCGGUAGUUGUACGGUACAUGGUCCUCCGUGCGGUGGUGUAGACAGUCAGAGAGAGAAGUGUUCGAGCGGACGCAACUGUGUUGUGAAGUUGAGCAGUGGUCUGGACUGCGGACUGACUGUCUGACUCUGGAGGAGUGGAGGGGCAGAGAAAAGGUGCCCCGACGCUUCCAGGCUCCAGGUCAGAGCGGCUCUUCUGCUGGAGUAUCGGAAGUUAGCAGUGGUCUGGAGCAGCAGGAGGUUGGAGAGUACCGUAGCGGCGGCGCAUUUGGCUGCCUUGUAGCGCAAGGAUGUUUCCGAGCAUGCGUGCAUUUGCCUGUGUGUUGGGCCCAACUCCGCACGCCGUUGAUUGACGCAGUUCGCACUCCUAUGUUUAGUGCUGGGGGAUUCAGGGCAGCCUGGUGCGGACGUGCAGCGGUGCGCGGCUAGGCGAUUGCUCGACAUUGACAGGUGUUUUAAACUGCAUCCGCACGAAGAGGCGGACAAGGGCGAGAGACAUGGGCGGAUAAUGCAAGGCGAGUUUACACGCUUACCCCCCUGCCAACAAUACCCAACAGCAACCAUUACCAUACUACCGUACUGUAUCAAGUGUACCGUUAUUUCUGUUCGCUGCCUCCUCCACCAGCCUUCUGUUUUGGCUUCAACGCCAGCUACCACCAGCAAUCCUACCACCAGCAUUUCUCAGUCUCAUGCCAAACACGGGUUUGCGGAGCCCCGCCCGCCUUGGCCUCAGUUCAUCAUCAGCACUCAUGGGUCAGCACUGCGUUCGUGUUCUGUUCGUUGCGCCUUAGCUAUGCGCACUCCCGGCCGGCUACAUACGUAUCAGGCAACGGCCGGGCGUUUGUGCUGAGAGUGCGCAGCUAGGUUGCUGCACCCAUAGCAGCCCGGCAGCCCCGUACAUCAGUGAAUAUCAACAUGACAAACAUAUCACCUCCGAAACCGGCUCUAUCUUAAUUCCACCGCAGCCGCGGCUCCGAACUGUGCCGGCAAAGGCAACACCGCUGCAGCGGCAAGCAGGUGGUCGGUAGUAUCAAUCCACUCUCGCGCACCCAAGGCCCAUGGCUCAAGCGACCCACCUGACCAGCCCGUUCGUUGGGCGUUCCCGUCGCGACAAUGCGCAGAGUCACGUGCGUCAGAAAGCAAGUAGGUACGGCCGUCCACACGUGAGAAGUUAUUGGACAGCUUGCAUAGCCACUCGAACCUCGAACCCUUCCACCCUCGCCUCCGUUCUCUCUGCAUGAUCCGAUAGGCCCCGCGCCAGCCCCGCCCAGGCGUCACACCCGGAAUCUGAAAUCGUCACGCCAUGUAGCCGCGUGCAACCACACUGCACCACUACACCUCUUAACACACGCGCUCCCCCUUUUCCCCUGACUUCCUCAUCAGUCUAGUACUACCGCUACCAGGGAGCAAGGAUGAAUCCAACAUCGUGAUACUACCUCGGCAUCAAUCCCAUCCACCGUGCAACCUUGCUCUAUGCUGCUGCAGACUCCUUGCACACCCGGCAUCUCCCUUGCAUGCUGACGCAUUGCAUCUACUACCUACACCAGCUUCCGCACCGCCCCAAUGCACACUGCGAAUGCCCAGGAGCGCGGCACCAAUGGCCGUGCAGCCUUCGCCUGCGCGCACACGUUGCCGCAGCCAAACAUGUGCGUCCCCGUUGCCGUACCCGCAUUAUCGCAUGCCAUGCCAUUUUUUUGAGGACACACAAUACCUCGCUCAAAUGGCUGAUCCACCCCCUCCUCUGAACCUUGAGCAUAUUGUACUAGUGUGAGUGCACAGCAUGAAACCCGCGCCAUUUUAGCCCCGUAUACCUACUACGUAUGCCGCCAGCCUCGCGUCUGUAUCUCAGGAUGUUGAUACGAGCGUGCGGGCGCACCGCUUUUCGCGGUGCUUGCCUGCACUGGUAAAUAUAUGGAGCCCGGUACCUCUACCUGCUACAACCGCGUGCGAAACUACGCACAUGCAAACAAAACCAUCAUAUAGGCAAAUAGCUCCAAAAGUGCCCGUGGAGUUGCUAGUCCUGCAACUGCAGCUCGUCGCAGCUGCAGCUCUCCGUAACCAGGUGCCCCACGAUUCUUAACGGCUGCGGCAAUCCGCCGCAUAAAAAAGUAUUGUGCCCGCCAUUCUCAGCCAUUGCCGCUUGGCUCUCGCAGAACCAGCGCGACUUGGCCUUACAGCACCAGCACUUUGCGCUUCUUCAGCGGCACGCCGCUCUCCUCGCUGGACACGGGAGAGCCCGACGCGGCCUUGCGCGCCAUCUCCACCUGCGAGCCGGAGGGAGGAGUGGGGAGGGGGGGGACACGGCAAACACCGGAGUCAGGACGGCGCCCACGGUACACUGCAUGACCGCACGACGAGCCCCGCAUUGCAGCCUCAAGGGACGCCUUAGCCCAAUCGCGCUGGCCCCCACGCCACCGCGCGUGACGCUGGCCCUAACAAUGCGACCUACUGGCCACCGCGCACGCGCCCACGUCCCUCGCUACGCGGCGUCACACGCGCGGCCACGCUGUCUCAUUCCAUGCGGUGCCGUGCCCUGCCAAGCUAAACCCCCACAGUCGCUAACCCGCGGCAUCCAUGCGCAGCGCAAGACCCAACGUUCACCUGGAGCAGCGUGUUCGAGUCCGCGGGCAGCUGCACGGUGGUCAGCUGGAGAGACGUGCUGGGCGUGGCGGCGGAGGCCGCGGCUGCACCCAGCAGGCUGCGCGCGGGUAGCGACAGCUCGGGCUUGCCGCUGAAGGCGUAGGCGUCCUCGUUGAAGUGCAGGAACGCCUUGUUGUUGGUGGGGUGGAACGUGGAUCCCGGGCGGGAACCGCCGCCGCCACCCGCGGCCGCGACCACCGCGGCGGCCGCCGCGUGCUGGUUGUGGUGCUGCUGCAGCGACUGCAUCAUUUGCAUGGCCUGCAGUUCGUUCAGCUGCGACGCGGUGACGUGGUGCGAGCCCAGGCUGAGGCCGGAGUGCUGCGACUGCGACUGCGAGUGGGACUGGCUGCCGGCGCCGUGCGACGCCGCGGCGGCGGCCGCGGCGGCCGCCUGCAGGUUGCCGGCGAACUGGGUCAGGCUGAUGCCGCUGGUGCCGUGGCCCAGGCCGCUGCCGCCCAGUGACAGGCCGGCGCCUGAGAGGGACAGGCCGCCCGACUGGGGGAAACCCAGCAGGCUCUGCUGCGCCGCCGAGAGCAGCCCCGCGCCGGCGCCGCCACUGGGCAGCGUCAGCUGUGACGGCAGGCCCUGCGAGCCGCCCGCCUGCCCGCCCGACUGCAUGAGCGAGAGCUGCUGGGAGGCCUGCUGCGCGGUCAUGGUAGGGGGCGGCGUGGUGGAGGGGCUGGCUAGGGAGCCCGCGCCCGCCCCGCCGGCGCCCGGCUGCCCCGAUGGCAGCGAGCCCGCGGGCCCGCCCUGCGACGAUGUCGCUGCGCCAACCAUGCGCGGGCUGGCGUUGGUGUUGUCCGCGCUGGUGGAGCCUCCGGCCAGCACCGACGGCAUGCCGGUGGGCAGCGCCAGCGACUUGGGCACCGGCUUGCCCGUCAGGGCCUCCACCUGCGACUCUAGAUCCAGUGUGCGCGCCUUCAGCGCCUCGAUGUACUUGAUGACCUCCUCCAGAAAGCACGCCGUGUUGGCGCGCUCCGCAUGCGGCACCAGCUUGCGCAGGAGCUCCAGCCUGCACAUAGUGCGAAAACCCAGCAUAACCGUGUCAAUCUGACGUCAACAAAGGCUUGCAUGUCAAAAACGCGAGCACUUGGGCUGUGUGCGCUGGCGCAGGACUCGCUGACUACGCGUAUACUUUACGAGACCUGACUGUGAAGUGUUCCGGUGCCGGCAGAGUCAAUAGGCAAUGCCUAGCGCAGUUGAAACAUGCUUGCGGACCGCUUGGAGCCCACAACGCAGCUUACCUCUCAUUGAUUCGAGUUCGGCGGCGUUGCUCAGCCGCUUGGUGCCUGCUCGCGUAGGCACUUGAGCUCCGGCUGUCAGAAGACUUCGUUUUGCCCACAUUACGCAGGCCGCCGAGCUGUAGGUCGCGGUCUCCCGACCCGUACUGCUGGGGGAAGAGCGCGGCCGGGAAUCCGCUGAGCAGAGCGAGCUGGUCAGGCAGCCCAAGCUGCGAAGACUGCUGCAUAGGAGCUUGCUGAGAAGUUUGCUGCAGCGACGAGGUCGGCAGGCUGCCCAGGCUUAAGUUAAGACUCUGACCGGACAGGGCCCCGCUUCCGAGCCCGCUCGUCUGCAGGUUAAACUGGCCCUGGCCAUUUAGCAACGCGGCUACGCGAGCUGCCUCUAACAUGUCCGGUUGUGUCCGCCCCGCUAAUCCCAGCAGACCGAGCUGCUGCUGUUGCCGUCCGGUCAGCGAUGUUGGCUGCAUUUUGGUGCUUUGGUCCUUGAAAGGUUCUAUAUGGUCAUACGGAGCAAAGUAAGACGGGUGUGGAAAAGAUACAACAGGAAACGGGCGUGUGCUGGCGUGAUGCAUGAGGCCCGGAUUGGGGCAUGCGUCACGACAGGCGCUCACAAGAGGCCCCGUUCGUUUCCAACUGCUGAUAAUAGUCCACGUCAUUUUACGUGGGAUGGUGCCCAGGAACUCCCGAAAUUCCUAGGUGAGGAAGCUGGCUUUGGAGGUGCGAGCUUUUUCCUGCAUGCCCUCGACGCUUCGGCCUGCUUGGCGGUUGGGGAUGAGUACAAUAUUGGAGCGUAAUUUGGGUGCAAUGGGCUUGGAAUGCGUUGGGGAUGACGGGGUCAGAACAUAAACGCAGCAGCAGUUGGGCGGAGCUGACGCUCCGGCCUAGGACAGGCCGGAUGGCCUAGCAAUUAAUGUCUUAGCACAUACUUGUGCUUAAUACAUGCUGCAGCACCCCGAAAGCGAAGCAUUGCACAGGGGAUUCUGCCGACCGCUGCCGUAUCCCAUCCGUACCCGCAACCUUUCGAGUGGGCAAAAUGCGCAAAUUAUGGGAUGAUCCAGAGGCGGUUAUUAGGCUGAGAUGGGAUGCGGGAAAAUUGCGCGGCCGAAGGCCGCGCUAAUUCGCGAAGUUCAGUGGAGUACACGGCGAGCGUGUGUAUCUUUUCCCUCGCCUCGCUGACCUCCCAUCCCACGCUCGCGGAAUUAGUGAGGCGCACCAUCAGGGCAGGUGCUUUAUCGCCACUGAGGCAAUGCAUAAACAUUCUUAAUUUUUAUGCAUCGUGCAGGCAGCGGAGGGGGUGGGCCCCAGUGAGGCGGUGCUGAACUUGCUGCCUUGUCCCCCACCACCAGCAGCCACGUUGCAGUGCAGCAGGACACGUUUUCGUGCUGCCUAGCGCCAUCACACUGGCCCUCUGAGCCUAUACAUAUGCACCCAAGCCGAGACGUGCAUGGUGCCCACGCCAAAUACUUGCUAGCGUGGCAUGCUGGCCCCUCAUUUCCGCUGGCCUGCCAACGGCUCCUCCCACGGGUUCUGACCCCCACGGAUCACACCAGUAACCCGUUCCUCACAGCAAAAAUCCACGCGUACGCUAUCUUAAUUUUGCAAAAUUUUCCCGGGGGCUACGCCCCCGGAACCCCACAGAAAUAUUGCUUGAAAGCAUCAGCUGCUUUGAGCGAUAAAGUAGGGGCGCGCAGCGGGGCGAUGGUAUGAAUUGUAGAGCGCUUUUCGUUGCAGCGGGGGGCGGAAGGAGUGAAGCACAGCCGGCGAAGAACGGGAGCUCGCGAAUUUGCGCUGUCGCGCUGCACGCGACCUUUUGACCCUCUAACAAUGGCCAUAGUUGUUUCUUUGAUACUUAUAUAACAUAUGGCAUCGUGCUUAGGAGUAACAGCACACUAGAAGGAAACUUGGGCACUCAUACUGUCCAAACUGGGGCCCUUGACCGGUUUGAAGAACGCUUCUACUAGAAACACACUUGAGAAUAACGUCUGCACUCAGCGAAGGAGGCUAGGAGCGCCAACAAAGUUGCGCGCUAAUUCCCGAAUUCGCGCGAAUUCCCAUAGGUGCCCAUGUGCCAUGCCGUUUCCUGACCAGGGCAAAUUGCGGGAAUUAUGGGGUGAUCCAGAGGCCGUUAUUAUGCUGAAAUGGGGUUGGGGGAACUUGCGCGGCCGAAGGCCGCGCAAAUUGCGCAGAAGUUAGGCGCGUACCCAGCAAGUACGAGUACCCACCUUGCUGCCCCUGUCGCCCCACGCCCAGCUUGGGUCAAUUAUGCAGUGGAUAGGAGCGGUGGCCCACGAUACAGCAGCCACUGCAGCUCAUACUUUGAUUUAAUAUUUACGCAGUGCGUAGACAGGGGGCAGGGGAGCGAGGGCGAGGGCAAGGGGUCCAGCGGCGUGGUGUGGCGGCGACCAGCAGCCACCUUUACCACGCUGCAGGAGAUGUAUCUGUCCGGCCCAACACUUCUCUCCUUGCCCGGUAGGGCCACACAUGAGUGUCCGAGGCAGAGGAGGUGUAGCGCCCACGCCCAGCAAGUAGAAGCAUGGCAGGCCGGGCUACCUGACCGCGUGUCUUGCCCACGGCUGCCCCCAGCAGUUUGUGACCCCGGCGGAGCACGCCGUGCCCUCCUUACCAACGUCAAAAAUCAAGUGUUUUGUGCCAGGGAUUUCCAAAAUUUUUCCCGGGGGCUACGCCCCCGGAACCCCCCAUAGUUAAUGGAAAACAACACAGCAGUAUUAACAUCAGUGUUCGUGCCGCGAGCACUUGAAAACGAUACCACAUUGGCAAUAAGUCAAUAGUGUGCUGCCGAUCCAUAGAGCGAAGCCUUGUCGGCGAAGAACGCAACUUGGCAAAUUUGCGCAGCCGCGCAUUCCACGGCUUUCAGCCCCAGAUACCGCCUACUACCAUUUCUAUAAUGACUCCUAAGUUUGCUGCGACCUUGCUUGGGGUCAUUAGAGCGCUACAAAGGGAUUUGACGGUCGUGCUGACCGAACUUGCGCCGCGGACAGGCUCUAACACUGACAACAAGUAAAGAAGCGUCCGGUCGCAUAAAUGUAAUUAUGCUGGGCGUGCAAGACAGCCUAACAAAGUUGCGCACUAAUUCCCGAAUUAGCGCAAAUUGCCCUAGUCGCGAAUUCACCCAUGCCAUGGCCCCUACCCCUCCCGUUUGCUGGGGCCGCUGGGGUUCGCCAGGCAGUCACGGGGUGCCAACGUGCCAACCUUUCGCCUUUUUGGGGGGCCCUUGCUUUGCCCCGGAGGGGUGCCCUUUGGUGUGCGAUGGGACAGCGGAAAGGCAGGUUGGUAAAGUCCCGUAGGGUGCAGCUGAUUCCCAGAACUUAACAGAUGGCACACAACUGGCAAAGGCAGGGCAGGAGUGCGCGGCUGGUCAAACGCCGGAGUUACUGUACCCAUGAGUUGCUGGCUAGCUGGAAGUUUGCUGACGCGCAUUCCUCACGCUCCGGGCGCCUGGCCAGGCGAUAGCACCACACAGACACACCGCAACGCCACACUGCAGGACUUCGCGAGGCAGAGCCGCAUCGCACCUGCAGGAAGGCGACCAGCGUCCACGGAUGAGCACUAGAGGCAACAGCAGGGAAAUGCAAUCGGAAUGCAGCAAUCCAGCAAAGCAAUGGCCGGAGGGGUGCCCUUGGGUUUUGGUGGCUUGUGCGGUUGUCCCUGGUGUUCUCCCCUGGUUCUGCCUGCUCGCUUUGCAGGUUAUGUGCCGUUGUGGUGCUGCGCCUUCCCCUUUCUUCUCCUUUGUAACCAUUUGUACCCCACUAACACACCUGCCCCCACCCGGCCGGCAGCCGCCGCCCCGUGCGGCUGCCGGUUUCAUGACGGGUGUGGGGAACCGCAAUGCGGUCCGCACCCGUCACCUGCCUGCUGUUUGCUCCCUUGCCUCUUCGUCAGCGUCUGUGUUUCCAGAGUCGGGCUUCCUGGUGUCGCACGGCAUGCAUCGCACGCGCCCAUACCAACCGCAGUGCGACCGGGAUGAGCCAUGCAGCGAUCGCGCUGUCGUUACUUCCUCGCGGUUUGCACCAGUUGGGCACUUUUUGUCAACGCAGGCAGGCAGGCACGGACAGGGGCAAUCCUGGGGGGCUUCGCCCCCCCUGGAUCGCUUCGCUCAGGGGUCUCUUAGAAAAAAACCUUGGAAGUCUUACUUCCACUGAAUCACUGAUCCCUGCUGCACAAUGCGCUUGCUGCCAGUCAGGCUGUCAGUCCACAGCGCCUUGAUGAAGCCACAGGCCAGGAGGGCCAUCGGGACAAUUCCCCGCUGUCCCGUACUGGCGCGGCUGUGUGUCUAUGUGGUGCUAUCGCCUGGCCGGGCGCCCGGAGCGUGAGGAAUGCGCAUCAGCAAACUUCCAGCCAGCCAGCAACUUGUCGGUACAGCAACUCCGGCGUUCGACCAGCCAUGCACUUCUGCUCUGCCACUGCAAACUGUCUGCCGUCUGCUUGGGGUAUGGGCGUCAGCUGCACCUUACGGGACCUCGCCAACCUGCGCCACCUGGGCCUAAACCCUGUCCCAUCACAAAAAAAUGAGAAGACAAAAUGAGCAGAGAAUGGACUUGGAGCCAGGUGCGCUACGCCAUUCUUAAAGCACUGUGCGCUCCCGGCAGUGCUUCACAUUUAGGACAUUUGCGCAAGGAUUUGGGCGCAGCGAAUGGAAAGACCGCAAAUGGCAUGAUUACGCUACUUUUUCCUAGCCGACCGCUGUUCUGCCUGCUGCGCUCAAUAUGACAACCAGUAUGCUCUCCCGUUCCAUGCAGUGCUCUGCUUCGGCGCCUUCCGGCGCCAUUCCCCGGCGAUCCAUCGCGCGUUCGCGGCCCGCGGCUCGCGUUGUGCGGACUAGCUCUGGUGCUGGAAACAGCGGCAUGCCUCCGCCCCGCGCUCGUGGCCACGGGGGCGCCGCCGACGAGGAGCCCGAGAACGAAGACCCCACGGUUAAGGCCGCCAAGAUUCAAGCGAAAGCAGCUCUGGUCCUGGGCGGCGCGAUGUUUGCUGGCUUCUUCGUGCUGGGCAGCGCGAUUUUUGCUGGCUCCUUCGUGCUUGCCGACGCCCUCCGCGGCGUCCCCGCUGGCUUUCGGUCAAGCUGAGCGGCCUACUCAAGAGCCUGCGCACGAGCCUACUCGAGAACGGUCCGAUGGUUGCUGCUGGCCUGUUCGCCCUGCUUGCCUUCCAAAAGGCCCCGCGCAGCUGUGAGUGGCUGGGCGGGAGAAAGCUUGAGGGUCCACGCGCAGCCCUGCAGGGCCUUUGGCACUUCCGCUCUCUGCUCCCGCUCCGCCUAACUCCCAGCCCCCCUUCCUGUCACUCCUUUGCCCUGCCUGUCACAGGGCGCCGUGAACCCUGGUGUGAGGGCUUCGGGUCCGCGGCAUCCAGCAAGGUGCGGGUGCGGGGCGCGGGUUCCAGGGCUCCGGGCUGACGGCCAUGGGUUGGGUGCUGCCCCUCGUGCUGCCAGAUGGAUGGGUGCAGGGACUGCAGAGGGCGGCGGUUCUGCGGGGGCAGAGUACCUUGAGAAUGAGGGAGGUGGCUGGGUAGCUAAGGCCGUCGGGAUGACGGCUGGAGGCACCAGGGGGUGGGCAGCUGGGUAGCGCAGGCCCGCACACCUCUCGCCCGGCACUGCCUUCUAGACCGGAGGCCAUGCUUUGUCCCCGCGUCGCACGCAUCGGCGUCUGCCGCUGACCCCUCCACCUCCCCUUUCGCCCCCCCCCAGGCGCUCCCAACCAGCGCAACCUGCUCCUGGCCCGGCAGCGGCGCCUCCGCCACGGCCAGCCGCCAAGCCACACGCUCGGCCACAACCGCUCCGGCCAGGCGUCGCCCGGGCCGCCCCCGCCCGUCAUGCGGGUGGUCCUCACGGAGACGGGCGACAUGCGCAGCGGGGCUUGACUGUACUGCGGCCGCGGUGGGCGGAGCAGCGACCCAUGAGUGCCGAUGACAUGGCGGCGUCGGGGAGCUUGAGGAGGAAGCGCAGGCGACGCGGGUGGCAAGCUAGGGGUGGGGUGUGUGGGGACUCGGGAGGCGGGCUAGGUAGGACGUAGGAUGCUGGCGGUGGGAGGUAGGCAAUAGGAGGUGUACGAUGUGUGCGGCCCAGUGUGGCAGGUGCGGCGUGUAUGUUACGUGUCGCGUCGUGUUGCCGUUGGUGAGCCGCUGGGCGCGUGUCGGGCGUGGGACAGGAGGACGGAAGACGGGGUGGAUGCUGCCGGGUGGCGAGGCAGAUCGAACGAGGGUGGAGGGGUGUUGCUGCGCUGGCUCAGAAGUGCAGUGUGCUUCGGGCAGGGAGCGGGCGGCCGAGAGCCUGCUUGGCGGCGUUGCUGUAGUACCUUGUUGGCGAGAUGCACCUUCUUGAUCUUGACCCGUCUCUUGGCCCGUCUCUUUGACUAAAUGACUUGACUAGCUGACUUGACUUGACCAGGGCCAAGAUUGGGAGGGCGCAGCGGGUGAAGUCGGCGUGAGCUGUGUGUGGGUUACCGCAUGCAUCUACGUGUAUGGUGGGUUCUGGGCGGUCAUGCUCUGUGGCGCGCAUCACCCAUGCCAGCCCCGCAUAGGCCGGCGAUCGUGUCAUCUAGUUGUGCCACACACCACCGCGUCCCAGCCAUCCCUUCUGUAGCCCCAGAAGCCAAACAACAAGGGGUGUCAGCUUUGUACAGCUGGAAAAUGGGCUGAGCCCUAGGAAUGUAUGGGCCCCAAUGAAGUCAUAGGCGGGGUGACUUCUGCAACCAAACCAGCUUUAGGGCCCAUGCCGACGCUGCACGAGCUCCGGCUCAGGACCACACAUGAUCUGUACUUGGCCACAGGAUUGCCAGCACAUCAGCAAUAUAAGAUGACACGCACGCGCGACAUGAGAGGUCCACAACUCUAGCUCAAUGUCCGUCGGCCCUCCACGCCCACAAAUACGGCCAGACGCUCCGCCAGCAGCUGCAGCUGCGUUUCGCUCAACCGCGGCAGCGGCCCAGACAGCCGCGCCGCCGGCGCCCCGCGAACCGGCUUCACCACACCCGGCCGCCCACUGCUGUUUCCACCAGCACCACCGCCUCCGCCUCCGCUGCCUGCGCCGGCCUCGAGGGGGCCAGCGCCCGUAGCUAUGGCCCCCGUCGCGUGCCCUGCCCGCUGUGCUCCCCGCUCCCCACCCCUCCCCUGUCUCUCCGCCUCCUUCUCCUUCUCCCCAGCCACCGCCCCCUCCACCUCCUGCUGCUCUCCGGCCAGGCCGCUUUUCUCCGGCCAGGCUACCGGGUCGUACCAGUCCCGCGGCAGCCCCACCAGGUUGCGCUCGCUGUGCUGGAAGGGGCCUUUGAGCAGGUCCGGGUUCAGGUGCAGCAGCCAACGCCUGCGUGGCGCAGAGUGUGUGUGUAGAAAGGCGGGAUCGUGAGGUGUGGGUUGGAUGCACAGACCAGUACCGGCCGGUGGUCGGGGGAAGGGGUGAUGGCCUGUCAGUCCUAGACCCGAAACCGAACCGCGAUGCCCCUGCUCACACACGCACACGCACACCCCUGGCACCCACCCACCCACCCACCCACCCACCUACCUGAACAGCGGCCCUGCUGGCACGCCCAGCGCGGCGCACAGGCGUGCGAACCAUGUCACGCCCACCGCCACGUGCGCCCGCUCCUCAGUCGCGAUCAGCGCCACCACUGCCGCGGAACGACUGUCGCCGUAGCCCCUCAGCCGCUGCGUUGAUCAUGUUGUGGGUCGCACCGUCACAUUGGGCACUGGUUCUCUGAAGCGGGUCGCAAUUGCGGUCGGCAUUAAGGCCUACCGGUACUUGAACUAGCCUCCAACCACCGGCACCCACCUGCACCAGCCGCCCGCCCGCAUCCAGCCCCCGGGCCUCCUGGGACAUCGGCACCACCGCCAGCCUGCGGUACGGCCCCCCGUGGGGAGCAGCAGCGGUAGGCGGAGGCUUUUGACGCAUGGACACCGGCCGGUCCGUAUGGGCAUGGUCCAGAUUGGCACAAUUCAGUUGGGCAUGUGCCGUAAGCGCCUGAUAAAGGCCAUGCCCAAGCAACACUCCACUCCUCUCUCGCUGCUACCGUCCGCAAUUACCCCCCCCCCCCCCCCCAAGCCCCUGCCCGCCGGCGUGCUCUACCUUGCCGCCACGUCCACCGCGGACAGCUUGCAGCCCUGCCACAGCAGGUCGUGUGCGGGCAUGUCGCCGUAGCCGCAGCCCAGCUCGGACAGGCGCUGCAGGCACCAGCGCAGGUGCCGGGCCUCGUCGUCAGCAACCCUGGCGGCGGAAUGGCGGGGGCGGGGAGGGGUGGGGUUGGUGUGGGGUUCCAGGCAUGACUUUUAAGACGGCGGUGAUUUCGGACCGGCACAGCGUUGCACCGGGGCCGGGGGAGCGGAUCCGAGCAGGUCGCGCACUGCUAUCGGUUGACCCGGGAAGUGCAAGACGAGCACGCCAGCGACAACCCCCCGUGUCCAUAUGGACUGGCGCGGCAAAAUGGCGGGAGCUCGCGGGAGCGGGGAUGCCCCCGUAACCCCCCCACGUGCUUACAAACGCAUUCUCCCCUUACUGACAUCAUGCCACCGUGCGAUAUCAGCCAGUAAAGCCACACGUUUUCCAACCACCUGUCCACUCCCUUAGCUACUGUCCGUACAACCCACCUCGCGAAGUCCUCAUAGAACUGGUCUGGCAGCUCCAGUGCUGAGAACCGCACCACCGUGUCUGCAAGGAGAAGCAGUGGGAGGUCGACGGUCAUGCAGAAAGAAGUGAUAAAUGACAGGUUUGGGAGAUACAAAGUUGGUACCGUACAAAGAAGUGUAUCAGAAGUGUGCGCAGCUAAUGAAGUCAGGCGAUGUAUACACGAUGAUCGACUCCACAUCACUUGCGUUACUCAUCGCUCCAUAAGCCAGCACCGGUCAGCACUCACCCCAUGCCAGGUCAAUCGCGUUCAGCUCGAUGUGCGCCUGCAGUGGCGGUGGCGGCGCCGGUACAGUUAAGAGACAAGCAAGCAACAGCAGGUAACCUGCAGCCUCCGGUACUUGCACGGUCCCGCCCGUACCACUUCGCCACACACAUCCUCGUCAUUUGACGGUGGGUCAGCAAUCAGCCAAGCGCGUUGCCGCAUGUAACUGAAAUGCGUAGAUGUGAAUGCGAACGCGAGUGCAGGCGGCAGCGGAGGUUGUUGUUGUCGCUUGCCGCAUGUAAUGCACCGCACGGACUUCCAUGUAAUGCACCGCACGGACUUCCAUGUAAUGCACCGCACGGACUUCCAUGUAAUGCACCGCACGGACUUCCAUGUAAUGCACCGCACGGACUUCCAUGCUGCUGCACCCACCAGGUUGUGCAACAUGUAGCCGUUGAGCCCCAGCGGCGAGUUCUCGUGGCCAGGGAUCUACAGGAAGGAGAUAGCGCGCGUUGUCAAUCCUACACAACAUGAUUCAGGCGUGCCAAUGAUCAGAUGUGUCCUGUCCGCACACUGCUGCAUACCGAUGCCGAAGGCGUCAAAGCCGCCUGCCCCGCUGGCACUUCAUGCUUUGUGUAUCGUGCGCGAGUGGCUACGGCACAAUGCCCAUUGACAGUUAUCCGCCCGCCCCGCUCACCUCCUUGGGCCGCACGAGCUGCGGCCGUUCCGGCCGCGCGGGGUGGUCCGGCAGCUGCUGCUCCAGUCGCGCCUUCACCUCCUGCCGCUGCCGCUGCCGCUGGCUCUGACUCUUAAGGCGGCCCUGCCAGGCCUCCUGAUCCUCAGCUUGAAGCCAUUCUUCUUGCUCGUGUAGCUGAUGUUGUGACUCCUGCUGCUGCUGCUGCUGCUGCAAUGUGGGCUGUAGCAGCCCCAGCAUCCCGGGCUGCUCCUGUGGCGCGCGCAGCGGCAGCUCUCCGGACAAGUAGGCGGACCAGGCCGCGUGCGUCAGGUCGGCCUUGGCCUGGGGGCACGCCGUGCGCAGCACCAUCAAACCCGCCUGCACCAGACUGGCGGGCACGGCUGUAGCAGCAGCGCCAGCAGCGCCAGCACCAGUGCUAGCAGCUGUUGCUGUUCUUGUUGCUGCUGCUGCUGCUGCUGCUGCUGCUGCUGCUGCUGCUGCUGAUGAUGAUGAUGAUGAUGAUGAUGAUGAUGAUGAUGACGUGGCGGAUGUGGCCGCAGUAGCAGCGUCAGGCUGGGCUCCACGGGCAGGCGGUGGCAGUAGCACCGAGGCCAGGCUUGGGGCCUCGCCUGCGCCCACCACCACAGGGCCACCAGCAGUGCUGCCUCCGGGAAUUGAGCCGUUACCGCCGCCGGCGUUGGCGGUGCUACUGCUGGCGCUGCUGCCAAUGUUACGGCUGCUGCUGUGGCCGGGCUCGGCCUGAGGCAGUGGCGACCAGCGCAGGCGGCGGUCAACCCCACGGGCGCGCCAAGCCCGCAAUCCGGGCCACUCGUGCCGAGCCGCCUGCAUGCCGAAGGGACCAACCCAUUAAAGAGCCCGCAGCCGUGAACUUAUGUAGGCAUGAUGCCACACAACGAUUGUUAGUCUAUUCAAAAGCAUUCCUAUCCUGGCAUGGAGCCCUCUACCAAUGCCCUGACAGUCCUGCACCCAGCGGCCUGCGACCUGCUGCCGGUUCGAACACACGCGCACCUGUGCUAUGCAGGUAGCCGCAUCAAAAGCCGCACUGCCAUGACUGUUGCUAGAUUCGCCGAGCAGCUGAGGUACCAACGAUCCUUCCGUAGCAACACCUGACGCGGGGCCGGAGGUCAGCGGCGGCGCGCUGCGGGUGCCGCGCUGAGCAUCGCAGGCGGACAAGUCCGGUACGCUCUGCAGUACGGGCCCCGGCGCUGCCUGCGCCGACAAAGCCACUAGUGCGCCAGCCCGGAGACGGCACCCAUUCACUGAUUCAGUUGGCCCGUGUUGGAGCGGGCGGGUGUCUCCGUUUCUGGAGAGCGCGCGGGCAGAGCGCCGCAGCUGUAGGUGGGGCGCGGUGGGGCAACCGUGUGGCAACGAGCCUGCCAUACGGCCCCCAGCCGCCCGGGCGGCCGCCCCCGAGUGAUUUGAGCGCUCCAAGCAAGACUGCAUAUGAUUGAUGCGGCGGGGCUAUUACAGCUAUGUUUCGUGACUAGAGCGGAAUGCGAUUGUGGCGCACACAAUGACUUCAGUCCGUUAUUGUAGAGGAAGUUGUUGGUUUAUGGUAUAUCAUGCCAUACUGCUUGUAAGGAGAGCAGUUGGUGCUUCACGCCGCUGGGGCUCAUGCUGCACUCGCAUGGCCGAGAAAAACUCGGUCCCCUUUCAUACAGCUUUGCGCGCUUCCCAAUUGUGUACUGCUGGGGUCUUCGGAUAUAUCUUUACGGGUUCUGUCUGUGUUGCCAAACUGUUCUACGACUAGGUCGUUUGACGCCCAGGCUGCCAGCCUGGGGCCAGACUGUGCCCCAACUUAACUCUAUAGUUACCACAUUCCCAUUGGGAACUAGAGACACAGCAAAGGAGCCAUGAGCGAUCCAAAGGGGCAACUCCCGCGCACGACGCGCGUGAAGAACAAGCAGCCUGCAGACAAGCAGAUCACUGCGGAGCAGCUUCUUCGCGAGGCUAAGGAAAUCCAGCUUGAGGAUGACUACAAGGCACCCAAGCAGAUUAUCACGGACCCGGAGGAGCUCGCCGAGUACCGUUUGUCUAAGCGCAAGCAGUUUGAGGAUCUUGUGCGCCGUGUGGGACGCUUCAAUGGCGGUGUCUGGGUCAAGGUAAGAAAGCCGCCGAUGCGGUCCCGAAAUGUGGUCUUCCCGGGCCGAAGAGGGCCUGCGAUAGCUUGCUAGUCCAUGCUACGGCAUGAGAGGUGGCUCCAGCAUAUGGCAUGCAACGAAAAUGCGAGUCAAAGACCAGUUUGCGAGACAUCCAGCCGCGCACAGCACCCCCACUGCCACACCAGCGCGUGGUGGGUUGACCAGGUCCCGCGUUUCCCUCGCUGCGCCCCGCCGGUGCAUGGCACGACGGCAAAGGAGGGCACACCUGCAACCUUGCUGUGCGCUUGCAUCCCGGCCGGACAGCUGAGCCAUGCGCCGUUCCUUAGCACGGUCUCCUCACAACCUACCCCGCCGCUGUUUCUGCAACGCUGUGGGACCCUGCUGCCUGACCCUCCCCAGCACCCCCAACAACAACCCCUCCACCCGCCCCACCUUUGCCUACACCUCCCACUCACCUGACACACAGUACGCGACAUGGGAGGAGCAGCAGAAGGACUUCCGGCGGGCGCGCUCGGUGUGGGAGCGAUGCCUGGCCAUCGAGUACCGCAACGUCAGCAUGUGGCUAAAGGUGCGUGAGGGCGUGUGUGCGCCUGUGUUAGAGCGACAGCACAAGGGAAGGAAACAAAUAUGCACGCGUGUGCGUUUGUGGAUUAGAAAAGCACGCGGGGAAAGGGUGCGUGUAUGUGUGUGCAGAACGGUAUGGGGUUGUGCCGGCGGGGCUCGGGGCUGGAGCAGGGGACUGCAAGGUACGAAGGCACCAGGCGGGCGAGGCAUGGGACGGAGUGGGGUGAUGGGGCAAGCUGUCGGCAACUCCGGGUGGAGCGAGGAACUGACGGCAGCAGCAGAUGGGGCUGCAGCGGCCGUUGCUGCGGCCGUUGCCGCUGGUGUGGAAGGACUGUGUGUCUGGCAUGGUAGCGGUUGGACUGAGGCCUGCGGUCGGAGGUGUGGCGAGCGAUGUGGAAUGGGAGGACGGAAUGGGUGCUGGGGAAUCGGGGCGCAGUACGCAGCGUGCGGCCAACCUGCCGCCGUGCCGGACGGAGGGUGCGAGGCCGGGCGGAGGACGGGUGGUGGUGGUGGUGCUUCGUGGUGGCCGCGGCCAGCACGGCGCCCGUACUCGUUUCAACACAAAACGCCUCUCCUCCUCACCACACCCCCACCACCACUAACAACGCCAUCACCCACACCCACAUCCUCGCCACCACUACCUCAUACAGUACGCGGAGAUGGAGAUGCGGCACCGCUUCGUGAACCAUGCGCGCAACGUGUGGGACCGCGCGGUGAGCCUGCUGCCGCGCAUUGAUCAGCUGUGGUACAAGUACAUCCACAUGGAGGAGAUGCUGGGCAACGUGGCGGGCGCGCGGCAGGUGAGGGCGUGUUGUUUCCGGGUUGGGGGUGGGGGUAAGUCAGUCCAUUCCCAACUGAACCAAGACCCACCGGGGGGUGGGUGGGGCGGGGGUUGGCUUACAGCAUUUCCAAGCAUAGGAAACCAAAGACACGCGGGGCCACGGGGCUAGCCGUCCUCGAUAGAUGAUGUGCGUAACGCACACGGUUUUGAUGCUGACGUCCCAAAGAGGUGCCGGGGGCUGCCGAUGGGCUUGUGUAUACGGUGGUCAAGCAGGGCUGGGGCAUGGAGGGUUGCGGGCGCGCUGUGUGUGUGAACAGAGUGUGUACGCCAGUGGUCAUGCCGGUGUGGUGCCCAUUCGCGGCGGGUGGGUGGGUGGUUUACGGUUGGCGAGCGGGGUUGGGGUGCCCCUUCUGGCCGCUGGCCUGGCCGCCACAUCCCAUGAGACACGCGUUUGCCUGGCGCCCGGCCGCCUGCGGCCCCGCAGGUGUUUGAGCGCUGGAUGCGCUUCGAGCCCGACCACACCGGCUGGAUGGCGUACAUCAAGGUGCGGGAGGUUUGGGGUUUGGGGUGGUUUGGUGUAGAUACGAGCCCGCAAGUACACCGUGCCCAAUGCAAAAGAGCGAGGGGGACAGCGUGGUCUGUGGGGUUAGCCGUUCGCAUGAAGGACGGAUCUAAUCACAACGGGGAGGGAAGCGUUGAAGCGUAUGAAGGAAAGCGGUGGCUGGAACCGCCCCCUGUAAGCUCGAGUGAGGAGACCCUGCUCAAAUUCGUGGUUGAGGGUGGGGUGUUCGUGCGAGGGGUACGCCGUUUUGCCAAGGGAAACCCGCGCUAACCCAGGGGGGUAGGACACGCAUGCGCCUGUGGGAUUGGACGGCCGACAUGGUCGGCAUGUGCGUGUGGCUGUCUUCGGCCCCUCCUUCGCCCGAACAUCCCUUCUACCCCUCUUCCCUCCACACACCACACCCACACGCGUCCACUAUCCUCUCUGAACACAGUUCACCUGCCUCUCCCCUUGUGCUUGUGCGCCGCAGUUUGAGCUGCGCUACAACGAGGUGGACCGGGCGCGCGCCAUCUUCGAGCGCUACAUCCAGAUCCUGCCCACUGUCAAGGUGGGGUGUGGGGGCGGGGUGGCGUUGGGUUGGGGGGAAAGGGAUGGUGGGAUGGGCCGGUGGAUGCACGGGCGGCUGGGCGGGCGGGUGAAUGGGUGGGUGGGCGAUUGGAUGGAUGGGUUGCUGGGGUGACCUGCGACAAGGGGAGUGUGGAGGGUUGGGGCUGGAGCCGGUGUUGGGGCGUGGUAGGUGGCGGGGGCGUGGCCAGGUGGCGUUGGCGCCAGUGCCAUGGACGGGAUGCUGGUGGGGCUACGGCCGCAGGGACCCUACAUGUACAACCGGUACCUCCCACCACACCUUGCCCCGCCGGCGGCUGAACUCCACACGGCCGCUCUGCGGUGCCGCUGCCCUGCCACUCCCCCGUCCUGGCGUUCCGGUUCGGCCAACCACAGUGCCUGUUGCAUCACCGCAAUCGUCCUAACUUGCCACGCAUUGAACCCCUCCGCGCCCUGGCUACAACUCCGCUACAAUGUGCCUGGCUGCAAUUUCUCUUCUUCUUAAGUAAUCAUGAAUGUAACCCUCGCGUUCCCCAGGCCUGGGUGCGCUACGCCAAGUUCGAGAUGCAGAAUGGCGAGGUGGGCCUGGCGCGCCGCUGCUACGAGCGAGCAGUGGACGAGCUGGGAGAGGACGCACAGACGGUGAGGCUGCGGGGGCCGCGGGGGCUGGCGGGCGGGGCGCCAGGCAUCGGGUGAGAUGCAGCAGGCGGCUCGCGGGUGUGGUGAGCACGCCGCAAGACGUCGCACGCCUUGCAUUGGCGGGGGGGGGGGGGCGUGCGCAUUCCGUUUCGCUCCCACAUGCCACUCCCUCCAGCCCCCGACUCCAGUCAAAAGCCCUGCACCUAUGGCCCCAACCGCCCCUGGUUUCUUUGGGAUUUGGUCAAACUAUCCUCUGUCCCCACACACGCGCAGGAGGAGUUUUUCAUCAAGUUCGCUGAGUUCGAGGAGAAGGCGCGUGAGGUGGAGCGGGCCCGCGCCAUCUACCGCUACGCCCUGGACCACAUCCCCAAGGUGUGUUUGUGUGUGUGGGGGGGGGGACUGCGGGCCGUGCGGCCGUAGCAAGUGGCCAUCGCAGUGGCCAAUAGCAUUUGCCCCCCGCAGCAGCGCGUGUGUGUGCAGGGGUGCCGGAGGGGCCGGGGCUGGCGGGCGGGUGUGGUGGGCGGGCGCUUCCUCGAUUACCUUCCUCUACUUGCGGCGACUUGCGGCGCGCCGCACUCAGCAGCGGCGCGGGUGCUGCCUGUCGCGCACGCACAGCCCACACCAUGCCAGGAUGUGCUCUCGCUCUCAUGUGCACACACACACACACACACACACAUGUUUGCCGCAGGCCUCCGCGCCCAGCCUGUACCAGCGCUUCGUGGCGUUUGAGAAGCAGCACGGCGACCGCGAGGGCAUUGAGCAGGUGGUGGUCAGCAAGCGCAGGUGAGGGGGCGGGUGAGGGGGCGGGUGAGGGUGCUGGUGAGGGGGCGGGUGGGGGCGGGUGAGGGGGCGGGUGGGGGCGGGUGAGGGGGCUGGUGGGGCGGGUGAGGGGGUGGGAGCCAUGAGGCGCGGCUGGCGCAGGGUGCCAAGAGGGGUUCACUGAGGAGCGGCUGGGGGGGGGGCGCGAGGGACAGGGCCAAUGGCGGAGCCGGGGACGUGGGCAUGGGUGUGAAGGCCCAGGCGGUUGGGAAGGGCAGGUGGUUUUGAAGUCGGGUCGAUCGAACACUCGUUUCCCUUACCGUGUUAGCACGCUCUCGCCCACACUUUCGGUUGUUCCACACGUACCGUACACCCGCACAGGUUCCAGUACGAGGAGGACAUCGCCAAGUCGCCGUACAACUACGACACCUGGUUUGACUACAUCAAGCUGGAGGAGGGCACCGGGGACAUCGAGCGCACGCGCGAGGUGGGCGGGUGCGGGUUUGUUGAAGGGGUCAAGCCACACGCAAAGUUGAGGUUAGAGGUGUGUGUGUAUGUGCGUGUGCUCGUUUGUGCCUUUGUGCGUUUGUGCGUGUGUGCGUGUGGACAUCGACGACUACCAAAAUGGAGCUUUGCGUGUGCAGCGCCGACCCCUCCCUCCCACCCGCCCUCCCAGCCACCCUUCCAACCACCCUACCAACCACCCGACCAACCACCCCGUCGCCACCCACCGCCCUCCGCCCUCCCCACCAGGUGUACGAGCGCGCGGUGGCGCAGCUUCCGCCCAGCUCCGCGGAGAAGCGCUUCUGGCGGCGCUACAUCUACCUAUGGGUCAAGUACGCGCUGUUCGAGGAGCUGGACUGCGCCGACCCCGACCGCACCCGCGACGUGUACCGCGCCGUGCUGGACCUCAUCCCGCACCGCCAGUUCACAUUCGCCAAGGUGCGGCGAGAGGCGCGUGCGUGCAUGCGUGCGUGCGUGCGUGCGUGUCCCGUGUGGUAGGGAGCAGCCGCGGGGGCCGGGCACGAUGGUGUCCAGGCUGGAGCGUGUGUUGGAGGCUGAUGCAGACGCGCUGUGGAGCGGCCACGCGGGCCUGCCUUCUCCGUGCCUUGGUCCAUGCGCACCCACGCACGCAUCUACAAAGCCGCACCCGCAGCCCGUAAAACCACGUGUGUUUACGCGGCUGUUUUCUUCCCCCCUCCACCUUUCCACCCCCAUCCAGAUCUGGAUCAUGGCUGCCAAGUUUGAGAUCCGGCAGCGCAACGUGGAGGGCUGCCGCAAGCUGCUGGGCCGCGCGCUGGGGCUGUGCCCCAAGGUGCGUGGUGCGGCCUGGUGACAGGGGCAGCAGCGAGAAAGGCGGGCAGGGACACGGGCAUAAGGGAGACGGCAUGCGCCUCAGAGAGCCGCGACACGUGCUCUGCUUGGCACGUGGGCGAUGGUGGGCCCGGGGUGCGGCAUCCAGUGACGCGCGGCCGUGCCAGCCCUCCUCAUGGCUGAGUGGCUGGCCAACACCGAACUCUGAACAGCAACUCCAAGCACUCCCAAAAUGAGCUGUUUUCAUGGUCCUUGUUGCCCCCCAUUAUCUGACUGUCCUUAUCGUCCUCACAUCCCAACCAACCAACCGCAGGAGAAGCUGUUCAAGGCCUACAUCGAGUUGGAGCUGACCAUGGGCAACGUGGACAGGUGCGCGCGAGGCAGGAGCGAGGCAGGAGCGAGGCAGGAGCGGCCGGCCGGCAGGGUUGCAUGGCAGCGGGCGGAAGCAAGGCGGGGCUGGCUUGCGGCGAGCGGGGUCAUGGACCCGGACCCGGACCAGGGCCCGUUCAAGGCACGCACUAACUGUAGCAAUUUUCCAAUCCGGCCCGACGGCAAGCGGGUUGAACCCCGGUUUACCCUGCGCACCGUACACCCGCACACCCGCCUCCCCCCCCACAGCUUGCACCCCCCCCCUUACACACACACACUCUUGCACCACCCACGCACGCACACGC